rnacentral:lncRNA from 1 species
UCAAUUCUACAAGCAAUGGCCUGUCUUCAAACCAUCUAUUGGCAGUUGAGCUGGAUGCAGUUCCAAGCCCGGAUCUUAAAGACAUCAAUGACAACCACGUUGGAAUUGAUGUAAACAGCUUGAUAUCCAUUGAAUCUGCUCCGGUGACCUACUUUUCAGAUGAGGAAAAGGAGAAUAAGAGCUUGACUCUCAUAAGUGGUCAUGUGAUGCACGUGUGGAUAGAUUACGAUGAAGUAGAGAUGCUACUCAAUGUUACGGUUGCUCCUAUCACAAGAACAAAACCAACCUUGCCUCUCUUGUCAACACCUCUCGAUCUUUCUUCAGUUAUGUUGGAUUCUAUGUACGUUGGUUUUUCUUCAUCUACUGGAGCAGUGGCAAGCAGCCACUAUAUUCUGGGGUGGAGCUUCAACAGAGGCGGACAAGCUCAAAGUCUUGACGUGUCAAAGUUGCCUACACUUCCUACUCGAAGAAAAUCAAGAAAGAAACCACAUUUAAGAAUUGUGGUCCCAACAAUAACAGCAAUCAUUUUGCUGGUAGCAAUCUCUGGUGAUGUUUGUAUAAUAAGGCGGAAGAAAUAUGAAGAACUGCGCGAAGAUUGGGAACAGGACUAUGGUCCUCAAAGAUUCUCCUACAAGGAUUUAUACAAAGCAACCAAGGGUUUCUCAGACAGUGAGUUGCUGGGAUGUGGGGGUUUUGGAAAGGUUUACCGAGGAGUAUUGUCUUCUUCCAAUAUGCAAGUCGCGAUCAAGAAAGUUUCCCAUGAUUCCAGGCAAGGUGCUAAGGAAUUCGUUGCUGAGAUUGUUAGCAUGGGGAGGCUGAGGCACAGGAACUUGGUCCAGCUCUUCGGCUAUUGCCGGCGAAAGGGAGAGCUCCUCUUGGUCUAUGAUUAUAUGCCCAACGGAAGCCUUGAUAAACUCCUAUUUCGCAAUGACACACCCUGCCUUAAUUGGGGUCGGCGAUAUCAAAUCAUCAGGGGAGUUGCGUCUGCCCUUCUUUACCUUCAUGAAGAGUGGGAACAGGUCGUUAUGCAUAGAGAUGUGAAAGCUAGCAAUGUUCUAUUAGAUGCCGAUCUUAACGGACGGCUAGGAGAUUUUGGGCUAGCUAAGUUUCAUGACCAUGGAUCAACUCCUCAAACAACCAAAGUGGUUGGAACAGUUGGAUAUCUUGCACCAGAGAUUACUAGAACAGGAAAGUCAACUACCUGCAGCGAUGUUUUUUCUUUUGGGACAUUUAUGCUCGAAGUGGCAUGUGGAAGGAAGCCUGUAGAGUCAGAAAGACCACCUGAGGAGGUUGUUCUGGUUGACUGGGUACUUGAAUGCUGGAAGAGAGGUGCCAUUCUUGGGACAGUUGAUCCUAGAUUUGAAGGUAACCACGUGGAGGAAGAAAUGGAGGUGGUCUUAAAGCUAGGCCUGCUCUGUACACAUCGCACUCCGGCAGCUAGACCUAGCAUGAGGCAAGCGGUGCAAUAUCUGGAUGGAAAUGCUACUCUACCUGAUUUACCACUGCACGGUGAAGGAAUCGGUUUAGUUCCAGUUAGCAAUGAUGCAUCUACAGAGCAUGUUUUAACAAUCCCGAUAUCAUCAGAUGGAAUUUCUUCCAAUUCCUUGUCCGACUCUGAAUCAAUCCUCAGUGGUCGUUGAACCAGCAAUGCUUCAUGGAGGAUUGAUUACGUAAAUAUGUACAUUAAGACUUUUUCGAUGUGAAAUACAGAGGAAGGUGCCGCAUAAUUUCGAAGAUUGUAGCAUUUGUGCAAUUUUUUUCCAACCACUUGUAUAUUUUGAAGAAAGUAUCCCAUGAUUCCAGGCAAGGAACUGUUCAAUUUUUUCCAACCACUUGUAUCUUGUGAGUUAUUUUACCAUAGAACAGUCGACCUCCCUGCAGACCAUAAGCCCAGAGGCAAGGAGGGCUUGUAAGAGUUAUUCAAUUGUGUUAAAAUUGUAGUGUUUGAUUAAUAAUAUACAAAUAUUUCUUAACUAGCAGAAUUAAUAGAUUUAUGAAACAAAUAACAAAUUCUAUUUAAACUUAGCAUGCAUUGUCAAUCCAUCUUGGUUGAUUAUUGUGGUUGAUUAAAGUCAAUCGAUGAUGGUCGAUUUAUGAUUGAUCAUGUUGAUUUUGUUGGAAAAUAAUUUUGAUGCCUUUCACAUCAAAUAAAUAAUAAAUUAUAUAAGCAAAAUAGAUAUUAUUACUUACUAAAGAAUUAUAUACAAACAAAGAAAACCUGUUAUGUUAAUUAGUGUGUUAAUGAUUCAAUAAUUUAUUAUGAAGGUUAAAUUUGCUUGUCACUUAAUAUAAACUGUACAAAUUGCUUUUCAGAAUUCAAACAAAUCAUCUUAAAAUAUUGCACUAUAGAUCAUAGCCUACAAAUAAUUUUGAAAAUAUUUUAUAAUUAAUUCAAACUCUAGUCGAGCACUGAUUUAAUUAAGCUCAAAAUUCACAUGGCCUAAAAUCUCUCUAAUCUUAAAGUUUUUGUGUUUUACAAGCCAAUUUAAACUUUCAAUUUCUACUAUAUAUGCAUGUUAUAAGAUCUUAUAAUCUUUCAAUUUGGAAUUAAUAUUAUUUGGAUUUUUUAAGAUUAAUUUCUUAUCCAUUUAUAAUUUAUUUUAAGCCUGUUGUUUUUUCAUGUUAAAAUAAUUAAUUUGGAGAAUUUAUUUAUUAAAUGGUUGGUUAAUUCAAAUGAUUCUAUAAAUCUUGUCAUUGCUUCUUAAAAUUGAUAAGAUUAUAGAACUCAAAUAUUACUUAAUCAAAAAAAGAAAAAAAAACGAUAGAAAUAGAAAAAAGACAAGAAUAAUCUGUGUGCUACGCCAACGCAUGAGGAGACGAGACUAGAGCCACGCCAACGCAUUACGUGUCCACCUCAAGUUUCUUUCUUAGCCAUUACGUAUCGGCUACGGCAUCGCAUCGCAUCGCAUGACGUAUUUAAUUUCUACUAUUUAUUAUAUUCAUUUAUUACUAUUUUCUUUUAAAAGAAGUGGACUGAAUAUUGUUUUUUAAGUCUAUCUUUUUAGAAAUAUAUUAAAUUAAUAUUUUAAAAAAUUAUUUUUAAUAUCAGCCGAUUGAAAUCAUUUAAAAAUACAAUAAAAAUAUUUAUUUAAAAUUAAAAAAUAUUUAUUUUUUUAAAAAAAUAUUUUUAAAUCAUAAAAACAAAAAAACUCUAAAUACACCGUACGAGUGACUACUACAACUGUUUAUUGUCAUCUUUACCCUCUCCUAGUUUCUUGAUCAAAACACAAAGUAGACUUUAAGCAUUGAGAAUCAGAGGGGCCACUUUGACCAUCCUUCAAAGAUUAGAGCUGCUGAUAGAUUUAAUUUUCUGCUAGCUAUCAAUAUUUAACAAGACGGAUCGUUCUUUUGUAUAAAAAAGUCAAAGAUGGCCACCCAGAAAUAACGUCGUUGAAAUGGACCAAGUUUAACACAAAUAUCCUUUUUUCUUUUUUUUUUCUUCUUGAUUUCCACUUGGAUUCUUGAACCAACACUUCAAUUUGUUUUUUCUUUGAGUUUAGUCUCUUUUCUUUUGUUUACUAUUUGUUUUAUUUGAAAAACAUUAACGUCCCUAAUUACAGUUCCUUCAACACUUCAAAUCUGUGAACAAACUAGGGAAUUCUGAAAAACCAGGUCUGAAUCCGGACACUUGCGCAUCGCAUGUCCGAGCAACAGAGGUUUAAAACUAUUGAUUCAAUCUGCAAUAUUCAGUAAAAUGAUAAUUAUUUUGGAAGUCCAAUUAGUAAUAGAAUUUGUUUCUUGCCAUAGAAGAUUUUAGAAUUUUAUUUUCUUUGAUACUGUAUCAACUUUGAAAAGUAGUUUUCCCUAUUUUUUAAGAGAAAAAGUUUUGGAGAAGGUUCGCAUGCACGCAAGUCAUAGCAAUGUGAAGAGACGUGUUAAUAAUUCAGUCUUUAGAAACUGUAACAACAAUUAAGGAAAAACUCGAAGCGAAAAAACUUUUACCAAUGUGUAACUGAAGAAGCAAAAACAAUCUUCUGCACGUUCUUAUGAUGAUUGCAUCGUUCAAAUCAUUGCACUUCCUGCUCGGCCUGUUUGUUUCCUCGAAGCUCUUGGCCUUAGCUCAAGAGCAAAACCACUUCAUCUAUCAUGGCUUCACUGGAGCCAACCUGCUCCUCAGCGAGAUUGCAAAAAUCCAUCCAAAUGGUCUCUUAGAGCUGACAAACACUUCAAAACAGCAAAUUGGCCGUGCUUUCUUCCCAUUCCCUUUUCUGUUCAACACAUCUUUAUUCAACAAUUCUCGGUCUCUCUCUUUCUCUACCCAGUUUGCGUUUUCCAUGGUCUCUGAGCUGCCUACACUUGGUGGCCAUGGCAUGGCCUUCACAAUCUCUCAAUCUACGAACUUCACAGGGGCUUUGGCAACUCAGUACCUUGGAAUCCUCAAUUCUACAAGCAAUGGCCUGUCUUCAAACCAUCUAUUGGCAGUUGAGCUGGAUGCAAUUCGAAGCCCGGAUUUUAAAGACAUCAAUGACAACCACGUUGGAAUUGAUGUAAACAGCUUGAUAUCCAUUGAAUCUGCUCCGGUGACCUACUUUUCAGAUGAGGAAAAGGAGAAUAAGAGCUUGACUCUCAUAAGUGGUCAUGUGAUGCACGUAUGGAUAGAUUACGAUGAAGUAGAGAAGCUACUCAAUGUUACAGUUGCUCCUAUCACAAGAACAAAACCAACCUUGCCUCUCUUGUCAACACCUCUCGAUCUUUCUUCUGUUAUGUUGGAUUCUAUGUACGUUGGUUUUUCUUCAUCUACUGGAGCAGUGGCUAGCAGCCACUAUAUUCUGGGGUGGAGCUUCAACAGAGGCGGACAAGCUCAAAGUCUUGACGUGUCAAAGUUGCCUUCACUUCCCCCUCAAAGAAAAUCCAGAAAGAAGCCAUAUUUAAGAAUUCUGGUCCCAACAAUAACAGCAAUCAUUUUGCUGGUAGCAAUCUCUGGUGCUGCUUAUAUAAUAAAGAGGAAGAAAUAUGAAGAACUGCGCGAAGAUUGGGAACGGGAGUAUGGUCCUCAAAGAUUCUCCUACAAGGAUUUAUACAAAGCAACUACAGGUUUCACGGACAGGAAGUUGCUGGGAAGUGGAGGUUUCGGAAAGGUUUACAGAGGAGUAUUGCCUUCUUCCAAUAUGCAAGUCGCGAUCAAGAAAGUAUCCCAUGAUUCCAAACAAGGAACUAAGCAGUUUGUUGCUGAGAUUGCUAGCAUGGGAAGGCUGAGGCACAGGAACUUGGUCCAGCUCCUAGGCUAUUGCCGAAGAAAGGGAGAGCUCCUCUUGGUCUAUGAUUACAUGCCCCACGGAAGCCUUGAUAAACUCCUAUUUCACAAUGACACACCCAGCUUUAAUUGGGUUCAUCGAUAUCAGGUCCUCAGAGGAGUUGCGUCUGCCCUUCUUUACCUCCAUGAAGAGUGGGAACAGGUUGUUCUUCAUAGAGAUGUUAAAGCUAGCAAUAUACUGUUAGAUGAUGAUUUCAAUGGUCGACUAGGAGAUUUUGGGCUUGCUAAAUUCUAUGAUCGUGGGGCUAAUCCUCAAACAACCUGUGUGGUUGGAACAGUUGGAUAUAUCGCGCCAGAGGUUACUAGAACAGGAAGGGCCACUACCAGCAGUGAUGUUUUUGCUUUUGGCACUUUUAUGCUUGAAAUGGCCUGUGGAAGGAAACCUGUAGAGCCAGAACAAUCAGCAGAAAAGAUGAUUUUGGUUGACUGGGUUCUUGACUCCUGGAAAAUAGGAGACAUUCUUCGAACAGGUGAUCCAAGAUUGGAAGGUAAUUACGUGGUGGAGGAAAUGGAAUUGGUUUUAAGGCUAGGUCUGCUUUGUUCUUUCUCCACACCACAAGCUAGGCCAAGCAUGAGGAAAAUUUCGCAAUAUCUGGAUGGGAAUGCUAGCCUGCCAGAGAUGCCUCUUGAUGGUGCUAGCAUAGGUUUGAUGCCAGUUAGUCAUGAAGAGCCUGGGGAUUUCACCUUGUCUUUCCAUAGAUCUAAUGAUUACUCUGCUCAUUCCUUCUCUAGUACCGACUCAAUCCUCAGCUGUGGUCGUUGAAUCAUGGCUUAACGAGGUAAAAAUUCUUUAAUCUAAAGACUAACAGCUGGCAUGUGGAAGGUAGAUUGGAAUACUUAGAGGGUUACCUUGUUUGUGCAUACCAUAGUAAUCCUCAAAGCACAACAAAGACUGCUCCAUGAGGGGUUAAUUAAUUAGCAUACAAACAUAGGUAUAAUUUAUGAUUUAAGCAAAACACAUGGUUGAAAUAGUACAAUGUUUGAUGUACAAUGCUGGUCAAUGAUGGCCGUGUAGCUUCUUCCAUUCUCCUCAGUGCUCUAACCCCACCCCACAAUUCAACUCAACUAUGCCUCAUUCCCAAACUAGUUAGAAUCAGUUUCACAGAUCUUCCUUCUCCAUUCAUUUAGUCCUUGUUCCUUUUUUGAUAAAACUCUCCACUUACUUCUGUUAUGGACUCAAAUGAUUAAUCACCUAUGCCUACCUCGUUUUUACAUGGAAGGUUAAUUACAUAUUGAAAUAUUCUGACUUCUGAUAUAGUGAUCUGCAGAAGCAUAGGCUUCAGUCAACUUUCUAAAAUACAGAAAAUCCAACACCCAGUAUCAUCGAUUAUCCUAACUAGAGUGCAGUUCAGUGUGAUAUAGCUGCUGGCUGGGUGGUUUAUUCACAGACUAGUAGUGGAAUAAAAAAAAUGGUGAUAAGGUAUCUUGAUGCUGAUGUUAUACACACAUAUAACUGUUUUAAUCUUUCUACAAACAGUCAAGAUUGCAAAAACCACGUUCAAGGAAGAAAGAAGAUAUAGACAGCAGCUUUGUAGGUUGAAAAGGGAUUAAAACACCAGCCAAGAAAAAGUAAAAGAAACAUUGCAACAAAAUUUGCAAUAAGAAGGCAGCAAUAUUAAUAACCCUGCUUUCAGAAAGAGUGUACAUAGUCAAUUACCUAAUGAAAAGGCUAGAGAUGUCUGAUCAAUAAGUUUCCAUCAUUUCUCCUGGUUAUUGGGUCACAGCUUGUUGCAGAUGAGGCAGCGCAACCUCUUGGGACAGAGUACGUUCACUUGCUGUGCAGCCUUUCCUGCAUCCAACUACCCUUAGUGAUUAAACAGACUCUAAUUUAUCAAGCAUGGAGAUUAGUUGUAAUGAUCAACUUUAAUUCUAAUUUGGGUCCCUCAAAGAACUUACACAGAGCAAGGUAAACAUGAAGUGACUUGAUUCCAUCUUAGGAAAAACAAGCUCAUACUGGAAAAGAUUUAACAGACAUUAGCCUCCCCGAAAAAUACCACAAAAAAAAAAAAAAACAAAAACAAAAGGAAGUUGAUACAGAUGCAGGAUAGCCAUCAACGUGAAAAUUACCGGUACUGAUGUGUUCAUAUGAACUUAUGGUGCCCGUGUGAGCUUGGAAGAGAGAACCAACCACUCCCUUUCCUCCUGGUAAUAUCUUGCUGGUCACAGAGGUGUCAAAGGCAAGGACUGCAGCCAUGGAUCAACUGUUGUAGUGGCUGUGACUGACCAAAUCAGCUCACUAAGAUAAUCCGCCUAUAGGAAAAGAAAUGAAUCAGGGAAGGAUGAUCUGUGAGUGGUGUGGUUUUUAUUAUGAAAUAAAAGUUUGUUUUUGUAUUUUAAAAUGUUUUUUAAAAAUUUUAAUUUUGUUUUAAAUAAGUUUUUUUUAUGUUUUUAAAUAUGUUAAAAGUAAUUUUUAAAAAAAAUAUAUAUUAUUUUAAUAUAUUUUUAAACAAUAAAUACUUUAAAAAAUAACAUUAUUACACUAACAAAACAAAAUGAAAAAGCUUAAGAAAUAGCUAAUUAUCACUAAAAAGUGAAAGGGAGACAUCUUAAUGGCAAAGUGAUGGCUGAUGUGCCAAUGACAGCCAUGAAUACCACUUAUUGGGACUAUACAUAGACAAACAUCUGAUUGAUGAUGAUAGGCAGAGCUCAUGAAUAGCUUGAACCACAACCUUUUGAACAGUUCCAAGAUAUUUGAAAGUAUCUUGUGAGGUUGCAGCAAACUGGAUAAGCCACCCGUUCCGUCUUUUCCCUUUUGCAAGUAUCACAUGCUUAAUUGCUUACACAAACUAUUUAAAACUACUAAAGAAUUUUAAUAAAAGAAACGCCAGCUGAUUGCCAGUUUUGGCGAAACGUUCAAAAGGCUUUGGACAAGGUUGAAGUCGGAGACAAAUUCAAAGCUACAGUAGCCCUUAAUGCUGAUGUUUACAAAUCAUCUUCCAAUAACCCAUCUUCGACUGUUGGGAACGAGCCUUUCUUGUCAAGUUUUAAUAGCACUUGCGACAAUGUUACGUUUACGUUUCCACCAUUUCAAGACGUUCAUAAGGCUUAGGACAAUGAUGGAGUCAGAGACAAAAUCAAAGCUACAGCAGCCCUUAAUGCUGAUGUUCAUGAAUCAUCUUCCAACAAACAACCUGAUGGCAAUUUCCGUAACAACAUAAAGGAUGUCACGAUUCACACUGUGAAGUUCGUCAAAUUAAAGCUCAUAAUGGGAGAAGUUGGCUGGCCUACAGAUGGUAACAGUGCUGGCGAUUUGAAGAUCAUAAUGGGAGAAGUUGGCUGCCUACAGAUGGUAACAUUAAUGCCGACCCCAAAUUAGCUAAAACGUUCCAUGACGGUCUCUUUAAAGAAGGGAACCCCUGUCCGACGAGGUUAAUUGGAUGUGUAUCUCUUUGGCCUAAUCGAAGAAUCAGAAGAGCAUUGCACCAGGACAUUUCGAGAGACAUUGGGGGCUCUUUCGCUUCGAUGAACAGCUAAAAUUUCCAUGGAUUUAUCUGGACAAGGUGAUGAAGAGAUGCUAAUAGCAUCAUAUGGAGUCCAAUACAUGCCAUCUCAAUGGUGUGUGCUUGAUGAGGAAAAUAAGAACUUGACCAUGAUAAAAUUGAAAUCAGCUAUGCCCUGCUCUUUGGUCGUGAAUGUUGAAUAUUUAGAUAGCAUUUGGAAAUGCAGUUUUUUAAUUUUUUUAAUUUAAAAUUAUUUUUUUAUAUUUUGGAUUAUUUUGAUGUUAUGAUAUUAAAAAUUAUUUUUUAAAAAAUUAAAAUUAUUAUUUUUAUAUAUUUUUAUAUAAAAAGUAAUUUAUAAAAUAACAUCUAUCAUCUUCAAAUAUCUUCUUGCUAGAGCUCCGCCUUGGCAUGCAUGCCCACUAGGGGUGUUCACGGUUCGGUUCGGAUCGGUUUUUAUCAAAAAAAGUAACCAAACCGAAAUUUUUUUUUAAAAAAAAAAACCGAAACCGGUUCAAACCGACCGGUUUCGGUUCGGUUCGGUUCGGUUUUUUAGAGAAAAAACCGGUUCAAACCGGUUUGGCUCGGUUUUUCCGGUUUGGCUCGGUUUUUUCGGUUUGGCUCGGUUUGGCUCGGUUUUUUUCGGGUUCGGUUCGGUUCGGUUUUUCCGGUUCCAGGCUUAAAAAACCGAAACCGAACCGAACCGGUCGGUUUUUUCAAAAUUUUAAUCGGUUUAAUCGGUUUUUUUUUUCGGUUCGGUUUUUUUGGUUAUUUUUUUUCCGGUUUUCUCGGUUUAAUCGGUUUUUCGGUUUUUUUGAACACCCCUAAUGCCCACUACCCAUCUUUAUUAAUUGUGUCUAUGGUUUUGGUUAUCUUGUUUUUCUAUUUUUUUUUCUUGUAAAUGACAAGUUUCAUUAUGUAUUUUGUUUUUCAUUUAUAUAUGUUUUUAUAUUUUUCUCCAAAAUUUUAAAAUUAAAUAUUUAUUAUCAUAAAAUUUUAUUCUUGUCAAUUGUCAUAAUUCUUUGAAAAUUUUUGAAGCAUGUCAUUAUGCUUAAAGAUAUUUAAGUUUUUUAUUUAUAAAAAUAAAAUUACAUAUCUGAAAAUUUAUAUUUUUUUUAUUUUUACAAUCAUAAUUUCAUUUGAAUAAUUUAUAAUAAUGGUCGUAUAAAAAAAGAAUAGAUUAUAAUUAUAAAUUGUUUUAUAAAUGAGAAAAAACAUACAUUCAAAAAAGAUAUUAUGAAAUAUUUUUUGAAAGAAAAAACAAUUAAAGGUAAUUUUUUAAAUAUAUAAAGCACAAUUAAAUUUGAACUUUCUUGGAAGAUAAGCUAUAAAAAUAAAUUUAUUGAUCUUAAGAAUUAGCACAAGAAGAUUUAUUGACAAUUUAUCUUUAAAAAUUAAAUUUAUAGAUACUUCUUUCAACUUCCUCUUUCUCUUUCUAUUUUAAAGUUGUGUGGCACAAAAAUUACACGUUGAAGGAAAGAACGUGUGUAUAUCCUCUUUUUAAGUGUGUGUUUAGUAGUGCAUUAUAUGUUAUUUUUUAAAAGUAUUUUUAAUUUAAAAUAUAUUAAAAUAAUGUAUUUUUAUAUUAAUACAUUAAAAUUAUAAAAUAAAUUUAAAACAAAUAUUAAAUUAAUAUUUUUUUCAUAUAAAAAAUUGGCUUAACAAACAUUAUAAAAAAUAAAUCGAACCACAAAAACAAUAGCAGCCUUAAAUGCAACCAAACAUGCUUAAAGCAAGCAUUAGGUUUUAAUAAUAAUAAUAAUAAUAAGAAGCGAGCAAGGGUUGCAUACCCGAGCGAUGAUUGCAGACCCAGUUUCCAAACCCUCACCCCUAAGCUGCAGACCCACUUGCCAAGGUUUGCAGAACCCCGCGCUUGGGGUGUGCAGAACUAGGAGCGGGGUGUAGACCCACCCGUCUGGGUUUCUUCUAUUGCGCCUGAGGUCUGCAGACCCCCCAGGAGUUGUAGAACCCGUAGAGAAAAUUAACAAAUUUGAAAAAAAAAUGAAAACAAAUAUAAUAACUAAUAACAAUUAUUAUUGUUAUUGUUAUUGUUAUUAUUAUUAUUAUCGUAAAUAAAUUUUAUAAAAAUAUUAUUACUAUAAAAACUUGGACUAGACAAGUUUAAUAUUAUUAUUAUUAUACUAAAUAUUAUUGUUAUUUAUUGUUGUCAUUAGUAAAUUGAAAACAAAAUUAUUAUUUAUUGUUAUCAUUUCAGGUGGGGUUGAAUUUCCUUAUUAAAACAUGUUUUGUUUUGGUUUUUAAAAAUGCUUUGAAACAAAUUUGACAAUUUUUUAUUUUUUUCAUUACUUCAAAUUAAUAUUUUUUCUUUUAAUUCAUAUUAAGAUGUUUUUGUAUUAUUUUGAUGUGAUUAUAUAAAAAAUAGAUUUAAAACAAUAAAAAAUAUUAUCUCAAUAUAUUUCAAAAAAAAUAUUUUAAGAUAUUUUCAAUUUUAUUUUUUUCCCUCUUCAAAUAUUUUUUUCUCUUAUUGAUUUUUUUCAUACUGUAAAGAGAAAAUAAAUUAAUGUGACUUUUUUUUAUAUUAUACAAAAGUUGGGUGAUGAUAAUUUUUUUUCAUUUCAAGUUGGGUUGAAUUUUCUUAUUAAAGUAUGUUUGGUUUUGCGAUUCAAAAAUGGUUUGAAAAAAAUUUAAAUUUUUUUUAUUGUUUUCUUUACUUCAAAUUAAUAUUUUUUAUGUUUUUAUAUUUUGUUUUUAAAUAUAUUGAGAUUGAGUCUGGUUGCAUAGCCACACCAAAAAGAAUAUAUUAAGUUGGGUCCUAUCCAGCAGGACCCAAAAUAGCUUUGGGUCCAGCCGCCGCUGGACCCAUCAGCCUUGGGUCUUGUCCCUAACAGGAUCCAUCAGCGUUAAGUCCUGCUCCUAGCAGGACCCAUCACUAUUUUUUUUUUUUUCUUUUCUAUUGGGUCAGGCAUUUUCUUCCAGAACCAAGAAACUUGGGUAAGAAACGACGCCUCACCCAAGGAGCUUGGGUGUGGCUAGGCACAGACCCAAAUCCAAAUCCCUUUGGUCUUAAAGACCCGCCUGGCCCAAGAUUAUUGGUCCUUCGUCAGGACCUAAGGCUAAUGGGUUAUGCGUCAGGAAUCAAGGCUAAUAGGUCGUGAGUCAAAACCCAAUGUUCUUGGGUCCUGUGUCAGGACCCAAUUUCCUUAGGUUAUGUCAGGACCCAAAACUAAUGGAUGUGACAUCAAGACCCAAGAUUCUUGGAUCUUAGAUUUCUAAAUAUAAUUAUUUAUGAUAUAAAUAUAAUUAUUUUUAUUAUAAUUAAAAGUACUAAUAUUAAAAAUAGUAUUAUUUGUGAUAUAAAUAUUACUAUUUUUAAAAUAAUUAAUAAAUUUGAAAAACAUUAUUAUCAGUAUUGAAAAACAACUAUAGAUUUCAUUUGAAGUGUAAAAUAAUUAAUAAUAAUAAUAAUAAUUAAAUUUUAAAAAAAUAUUAUUAUUAUCGAAGAAAAAACAUAUUUUUUUUAAGAUUAAAAAAAUAAAAAAUUUGGCUGACAAGUUAAAUAUUAAUAUUAAUAUUAUAAAUAUUAUUGUUGGAUUUAGCGUUGCAGCCAGACGCAACGCUCAUGGGUUCGUCGUUGCAGCCAAACUCAACACUUUUAGAUCUUAGAUUUUUAUUAUAUCUUUUUAUUAAAAUAAAAGGUGAGCCCGGGCCGUAGUGCGGGCAAAUAAGAAAAAUGAAAAAAAUAUCAAUUAUUAUUAUUAUUAUUAUCGUUAAUAAACUUUUUUAAAAACAUUUUUACUAUAAAAAAUUUGGCCAGACAAGUUCAAUACUAUUAUUAAUAUGAUAAAUAUAAUUAUUUGUAUUCUAAAUAUUAUUAUUUUUAUUAUAAUUAAAAGUAUUAGUGUUAGAAAUAUUAUUAUUUGUGAUAUAAAUAUUAUGAUUUUUUUUAUAAUUAAUAUUAUUAAUAUUAAAAAUACUAUUUUUUAUUAUAAAUAUUAUAAUUUUUAUUAUAAUUAAUAUUAUUCUUAUAAUAAUUAAUAAAUUUGUAGAAAAUAUUAUUAAUAUUGAAAAAAAUAGAUUUAAUUUGAAGGGUAAAAUUAAGAAUUAUUAUUACUAUUAUUGUUGUUGUUAUUGUCAUUACUAGAUUUUAAAACAAAAUUACUAUUGUCAUAGAAGAAAAGCAUAAUUAUUUUUUAAAAGAUUGAAAAAUAUGAGAAUUUGGGCAGAGAAGUUAAAUAUUAUUAUUAAUAUUAUAAAUAUUAUUAAAUUCAUUAAUAUUAUUACAAUAAAAAUAAAUAUUAUUGCUAUUAAAGAAAACAUAGAUUUGAUUUGAAGGGUAAAAUCAAUUAUUAUUAUUGUUAUUGUUAUUGUUAUUAUUGUUAUUAUUAUUAUUAUUAUUAUUAUUAUUACUAUUAUUUUCUUCACUUCAAAUUAAUAUUUUUUCUUAAUUCAUAUUAAGAUGUGUUUGUAUUAUUUUGAUGUGAUUAUAUAAAAAAUAUAUUUAAAAAAAUUAAAAAAAUAUUAUCUCAAUAUAUUUUUUAAAAAUAUUUUAAGAUAUUUCCAAUUUUAUUUUUUACUCUCUUGAAAAAACAUUUCUUUUUUCUUAUUGAUUUUUUUUUCAAACUGUAAAAAAAAAUUAAAUUAAUGUGACUUUUUUUAUAUUAUACAAAAGUUGGGUGAUGAUAAUUAUUUUUUCAUUUCAGGUGGGGUUGAAUUUUCUUAUUAAAGCAUGUUUGAUUUUGGUUUUCAAAAAUGCUUUGAAAAACAUUUGACAAUUUUUAUUUUUUGUCUUUACUUCAUAUUAUUAUUUUUUCCUUUAAUUGAUAUUAAGAUAUUUUUGUAUUAUUUUGAUGUGAUUAUAUAUAAAAUAGAUUUAAAAAAUAAAAAAAAUUAUCACAAUAUAUUUUUUUAAAAAUAAAAAAUAUUUUAAGAUAUUUCCAAUUUUAUUUUUUUCCCUCUUGAAAUUUGUUUCUUUUCUCUUAUUGAUUUUUUUUUAUACUGUAAAGAGAAAAUAAAUUAAUAUGACCUUUUUUUAUAUUAUACAAAAGUUGGGUGAUGAUAAUUUUUUUUUUCAUUUCAAGUUGAGUUGAAUUUCAUUAUUAAAGCAUGUUUUGUUUUGCGUUUUAAAAAUGCUUUGAAAAAAAUCUGAAAUUUUUUUAUUGUUUUCUUUAUUUUAAAUUAAUGUUUUUUAUGUUUUUAUAUAUAUUUUUAUUUUGUUUUUAAGUAUAUUGAGAUUAGGUCUGGUUGCGCAGUUACAUCCAAUGAGAAUAUAUUAAGUUGGGUCUUGUCCCGAGAAGGACCCAAAAUAGCUUUGGGUCCAGCUGCCGCUAGACCCAUCAGCAUGGGUCCUACCUCUACAAGGACCCAUCAAUAAUUGUUUUUCAUUUUUUUUUUCUUUUCUCUUGGUUUGGGCAGUCUCUUCCAGACCCAAAAAACUUGGGACAGGAAAAGGAGGGCACACCCAAGGGAGCUUGGGUGUGGUUAUGGAGUAGACCCAAAUCCCUUAGGUCUACAACUCCGUUUGACCCAAUAUUAUUGGUCCUUCUUCAGGAUCCAAUUUUUUGGGUCCUGAGUUAGGACCCAAGGCUAAUGUGUCCUGCGUCGGGAUCCAAUGCUCUUGGGUACUGAGUCAGGAUCGAAUUCUCUUGGGCUGUGUUAGGACCCAAAGUUCUUGUGUCCAUCAUCAGAACCCAAGGCUAAUAAGUUCUGCAUUAUGACUCAUGGUUCUUGUGUGUUAGGUUUCUAAAUAUAAUUUUUUGUAUUAUAAAUAUUAUUAUUUUUAUUAUAAUUAAAAGUAUUAAUAUUAAAAAUAGUAUUAUUUGUGUUAUAAAUAUUAUUAUUAUUAUUAAAAUAAUUAAUAAAUUUAAAAAAAAUUAUUAUUUGAUUUGAAGUGUAAAAUUAAUAUUAUUAUUAUUAUUAUUAUUAUUAUUAUUAUUAUUAUUAUUAUUAUUAAAUUUUAAAAAAUUAUUAUUACUAUGAAAGAAAAACCAUAAUGUUUUUUUUUGAAAGAUUAAAAAAAUAAAAUUUUUGACAAACAAGUUAAAUAUUAUUAUUAAUAUUAUAAAUAUUAUUGUUGGGUUUUGCAUUACAGUCAGACUCAACGCUCUUAGAUCCGAUAUUACAGCCACACCCAACGUUUUUAGAUCUUAGAUUUUUAUGAUAUUUUUUUUAUUAAAAUAAUAGGUGAGCCCGCAGCAUUACUCUUACGUAAAAAUUAAUGAGUUAAAAUUGAAAAUGGGUUUGGAUUUCCUUAAUUUUACCCUGGAUUGGAUUAUGUGAAAAAAAAUUAAAAAGUUACCCUAAAUUUUAUAAGUUUAUAAUACUUUAAAUUAAUAAAAAAAAUUAAAGUAUUAUAAGUUUGUCAUUAUAUUAUAUGUUUCACGUCAUUUGGGUUGCCAUUGUCAAAACCAUAGUUAUUAAACCCGGCCCGGGGUUGACCCGGCCAAGAGGCCGGGUCCCGGGUUUCAUAGGUCAACCCGGAAAAAUUAAAAAAAAAAUUAAAGUUUUAAUAUUUCAUAUGAAAAAAUCCAUGUAAAUAUAAAUUAUACAUAUUGUAAACAAUGAAGUUUAAAAGAAUAUUUUAAAAAGGUUUUUAUCCCACAUAAAAAAAAUAUUAUGUUAAGUUUUUAAGUUGAAGUAUUUAAACUAAAAACGUUUUUUAUCCCACAUUGAAAAAACAUGAUUUUUUACUUGGGAACAUAAAGUAUAUAUAACAAUGGGUUUCAAAUCUCACAUUUAAAAAAAAAAACUGGAUCUCGUUCAAGUUUAUCCGGGUCGCCUGAGUCAUGAGUUGACCUGCCGGGUCACCCGGAUUUAGCUGUACUGUUGCCCCAACCAGUCUUUUACUAAACCAAGUAGCAGGGCCAAGUCCUCUUCCUUCGACAUCGAAGCUUCUAUAUGCUUCAAUGCUGUUGAAUUUGCCGACGGCUGUUUUUAAUGAUUCAAUAAUUUAUUAUGAAGAUUAAAUUGCUUGUCACUUAAUGUAAACGGUCUAAAUACAAAUUGCUUAUCGGGAUUCAAACAAUUUUAUCUUAAAAUAUUGCACUAUAAAUCAUGACCUAUAAAUAUUUAAAUUUUUUAAGAUUAAUUUUUUAUUUAUUUAUAAUUAAUUUUAAAUUUAUUAUUUUUUAUAUUAAAAUAAUUAAUUAAUUUGACAAAUUUGUUUAUUAAAUGAUUGUAUCGUUCUUCUGCAUAGAGUCAAAGAUGGCCACCUAGGAAGAACGUCGUUGAAAUGGAUUUUUCACCCUUCAAAUUAAAUUAAAUUAUAAAUAAAUAAAUAAAUCUCAGACACGUGCUUGACUAAGUUUAUUCAUUGGAAUGGUGCGUUCGCAGAUUUGCCCUUGCACUGAAAUAUUGAGGUCAAUUUAGUCUUUUCACGGGAUCCAAAUUAAUCUCAGACACGUACACUUACAAGCAAAAACAAUUAACUUGUAUUCAGGUGCUUUUUUAUCUUUUUAAACUGAUUUUUUUUAUUAUAAUAAAGUUAAUUUACAAGCAAUUUGAUUAUUUAAUAAAUCUAUUUAUAUUAAAAAAAACCUGGCACGUGGGCUUUUCUUAUGCUAUUUGUGUGGCUGGUACCAUGAUGUUUGGAAGGCAAAUAGUGGUUUUCAAGGCGGUGUUGAAAUCGUCUUGACAGUUCUUUCAUGUUUAGGUUACGCUUGUGGUCAACCAAUCUAAGAUUUAGUGCUAAUAACUUUCUUUUUUUCCUUCUUGAUUUCUGCACUUGACCCUCUGAAAUUUAAAACCAGCCUUUCAAAUUAUUUUUUCUUGGAAUUUGAUCUCUUUUCUUGUAAUUAUUAUUUGUUUUAUUUGAAAUAAUUUAUAGAAUUAAAAUUUUUUUCAACUUCAUCAUCCUUCAACUUUUUCAUCUAUUAAAUUUGGUCCUUAUUUAUUCAUUUUAGAUGGUUUUUAGAAUUAAUUUUUUUUCAUGAUUUUAUUCUCCAAUUUUUUUCUAUCAAAUUUUAUCCUCAUUUUCUCCUUUAUUUAAGCUCGGAUCUCUUUAGCUUCAUCAUUCGGUAUUUAUUUAAUAAGAGAUUAGACUCCGUUAUUUUUUUAUUUUAUUUCUAUAGAAACUUUCAUUGGUUAUGAAAAUAACGUGGGUUAUAUUGAGUCUUUUUAUUUGUUGCUCUUUGUUAAAUUUAGCUUUUUUUGAGAAAUUUAAUUUUUUAUUAAAUUAAAUUAAUUAAUUAAAUAUAAGCAUGAAAUGCUCAUUUCAUGAUAUUUUACUUGGUUUUAUUUCUGGUGAUAAGACGGUGUUCACAGACUUUUCCUUCAUUUGCUAUUGGGUCUUAUAUUGGUAACUCAUUUUUUAUAGUUAACUAUUGCAAAAAAAAAUUAUUUUAUUUACCGUUGAUAUCUUUUUUAAUCAUAUUAUUAAAUUAAUCAAGCUUAUUGAAUCAAGUCAAAUUAAUUACCUAAAUCUCAAAUUUGUUUUGCUUCUUUAAAAAUGUUGGCGCCCUUGAAUAUUUUUUUUUGUCAAUUUUUUUUUUAUAUAUCUAUUAUCAUUGUAUUUUUUUUACUCGUAUUAUUUAAAUUAAUCUAACUUAUUAAUUCCCAUAAAAAAUGACUGGAGUCUCAUUAACUUUUUAAAACAUUUUAGAAACAAUUGUGCCAUCUUAGCAUCUUUUUUACCGUUAAAAAAAAAAACUUCAGCCUAUGCAAGCCAUCCAUCUAGUUUCAAUCUAGUACCCCAUUUCCAUUGCUCAUAAGAAUCAGGCUUGAACAUCCUUUUAUUUUGGUUUAGAUAAAUUAAAGAAAUGCCAUUGCAGUGCUCUUUGUUACUUCAAUCUUCUUUUUACCCUAAACUAAGUAGAGUUCCUUCAACACUUUAAAUCUGUGAACAAACUAGGGAAUUCUGGAAAACCAGGUCUGAAUCUGGACACUUGCGCACCGCAUGUCCGAGCAACAGAGGUUUAAAACUAUUGAUUCAAUCUUCAAUAUUCAGUAAAAUGAUAAUUAUUUUGGAAGUCCAAUUAGUAAUAGAAUUUAUUUCUUGCCAUAGAAGAUUUUAGAAUUUUAUUUUCAUUGACCUUGUAUCCACUUUGAAAAGUAGUUUUCCCUAUUUUUUUCCAAGAAAAAGCUUUGAAGAAGGUUCGAAUGCGCCCAAGUCAUAGCAAUGUGACGAGAAUUGUUUAUAAUUCAGUCUUUAGACUGAGGAUUUGAAACUGUAACAACAAUUAAGGAGAAACUCGAAGCGAAAAAAGUUUGUUUUCUUUUACCAAUUAAUGUGUAACUGAAGAAGCAAAAGCAAUCUUCUGCACGUUCUUAUGAUGAUUGCAUCGUUCAAAUCAUUGCACUUUCUACUCGGCCUGUUUGUUUCCUUGAAGCUCUUGGCCUUAGCUCAAGAGGAAAACCACUUCAUCUAUCAUGGCUUCACUGGCGCCAACCUGCUCCUCAGCGAGAAUGCAAAAAUCGAUCCAAAUGGUCUCUUAGAGCUGACAAACACUUCAAAACGGCAAAUUGGCCGUGCUUUCUUCCCAUUCCCUUUUCAGUUCAACACAUCUUUAUUCAACAAUUCUCGGUCUCUCUCGUUCUCUACCCAGUUUGCGUUUGCCAUGGUCCCUGAGCUGCCUACACUUGGUGGCCAUGGCAUGGCCUUCACAAUCUCUCCAUCUGUGGACUUCACAGGGACUAUGGCAACUCAAUACUUUGGAAUCCUCAAUUCUACAAGCAAUGGCCUGUCUUCAAACCAUCUAUUGGCAGUUGAGCUGGAUGCAGUUCCAAGCCCGGAUCUUAAAGACAUCAAUGACAACCACGUUGGAAUUGAUGUAGACAGCUUGAUAUCCAUUGAAUCUGCUCCUGUGACCUACUUUUCAGAUAAGGAAAAGGAGAAUAAGAGCUUGACUCUCACAAGUGGUCACGUGAUGCACGUGUGGAUAGAUUAUGAUGAAGUAGAGAAGCUACUCAAUGUUACCGUUGCUCCUGUCACAAGAACAAAACCAACCUUGCCUCUCUUGUCAACAUCUCUCGAUCUUUCUUCUGUUAUGUUGGAUUCUAUGUACGUUGGUUUUUCUGCAUCUACUGGAGCAGUGGCUAGCAGCCACUAUAUUCUGGGGUGGAGCUUCAACAGAGGCGGACAAGCUCAAAGUCUUGACGCCUCAAAGAAAAUCCAGAAAGAAACCAUAUUUAAGAAUUCUGGUCCCAACAAUAACAGCAAUCAUUUUGCUGGUAGCAUUCUCUGGUGCUGCUUAUAUCAUAAGGAGGAAGAAAUAUGAAGAACUGCGCGAAGAUUGGGAACAGGAGUAUGGUCCUCAAAGAUUCUCCUACAAGGAUUUAUACAAAGCAACUACAGGUUUCACGGACAGGAAGUUGCUGGGAAGUGGAGGUUUUGGAAAGGUUUACAGAGGAGUAUUGCCUUCUUCCAAUAUGCAAGUCGCGAUCAAGAAAGUAUCCCAUGAUUCCAAACAAGGAACUAAGCAGUUUGUUGCUGAGAUUGCUAGCAUGGGAAGGCUGAGGCACAGGAACUUGGUCCAGCUCCUAGGCUAUUGCCGGAGAAAGGGAGAGCUCCUCUUGGUCUAUGAUUACAUGCCCAAUGGAAGCCUUGAUAAACUCCUAUUUCGCAAUGACACACCCAGCCUUAAUUGGGUUCAGCGAUAUCAGGUCCUCAGAGGAGUUGCGUCCGCCCUUCUUUACCUCCAUGAAGAGUGGGAACAGGUUGUUCUGCAUAGAGAUGUGAAAGCUAGCAAUAUACUGUUAGAUGAUGAUUUCAAUGGUCGACUAGGAGAUUUUGGGCUUGCUAAAUUCUAUGAUCGUGGGGCUAAUCCUCAAACAACCUGUGUGGUUGGAACAGUUGGAUAUAUCGCGCCAGAGGUUACUAGAACAGGAAGGGCCACUACCAGCAGUGAUGUUUUUGCUUUUGGCACUUUUAUGCUUGAAAUGGCUUGUGGAAGGAAACCUUUACAGCCAGAACAAUCAGCAGAAAAGAUGAUUUUGGUUGACUGGGUUCUUGAUUCCUGGAAAAUAGGAGACAUUCUUCGAACAGGUGAUCCAAGAUUGGAAGGUAAUUACGAGGUGGAGGAAAUGGAAUUGGUUUUAAGGCUAGGUCUGCUUUGUUCUUUCUCUACACCACAAGCUAGGCCAAGCAUGAGGCAAAUUGCGCAAUAUCUGGAUGGGAAUGCUAGCCUGCCAGAGAUGCCGCUUGAUGUUGCUAGCAUAGGUUUGAUGCCAGUUAGUCAUGAAGAGCCUGGGGGUUUCAACUUGUCUUUCCAUAGAUCUAAUGAUUACUCUGCUCAUUCCUUCUCUAGUACCGACUCAAUCCUCAGCUGUGGUCGUUGAAUCAUGGCUAGAUGAGGUAAAAAUUCUUUAACCUCAAGACUAACAGCUGGCAUGUGGCAAGCCUGGUAUUAGUGGUGAAGAGGAAGGUAGAUUGGAAUACUUAGAAGGUUUGUGCAUGCCGUAGUAAUCCUCAAAGCACCACAAAGACUGCUCCAUGAGGGGUUAAUUAAUUAGCAUAGACCCAAAGUUUGGGUUUUGAGUCACGAUGUAAUUCUUUUUGGCUGUGUCAGGAUACAAAGUUCCUGGGUCGUCAUCAAGACCCAAAGCUAAUAAAUUUUAUAUUAGAAUUUAAGAUUUUGAAUCUUAGGUUUUUAAAUAUAAUUUUUUAUAUUAUAAAUAUUAUUAUUUUUAUUAUAAUUAAAAGUAUUAAUAUUAAAAAUAGUAUUAUUUGUGUUAUAAAUAUUAUUAUUAUUAAAAUAAUUAAUAAAUUUGAAAAACAUUAUUAUCAAUAUUGAAAAACAACCAUGGAUUUGAUUUAAAGUGUAAAAUUAAUAAUAAUAAUAACAACAAUUAUUAUUAUUAUUAUUAUUAUUAUUAUUAUUAUUAUCAUUAAUAAAUUUUAAAAAACUAUUAUUACUAGAAGAAAAACCAUAAUUGUUUUUGAAAGAUUAAAAAAAAUUAAAAUUUUGGGAAACAAGUUAAAUAUUAUUAUUAAUAUUAUAAAUAUUAUUGUUGUGUUUUGCAUUGCAACCGAACUCAACGCUCUUGGAUUCGAUGUUAUAGUCACACUCAAUGUUUUUAGAUCUUAGAUUUUUAUGAUAUUUUUUUAUUAAAAUAAUAGGUGAGCCCGCGGCAUAGCGUUGGCCACCUAACUAGUAAUUACUAAUUCUUAAGUGUUCUAGCUUAAGUAAAAAUUAAUGGGUUAAAAUUGAAAUUGGAUUUGGAUUUCCUUAAUUUUACCCGAGUUACUGGAUUGGAUUAUGUAUAAAAAAUUAAAAAGUUACCCUAAAUUUUAUAAGUUUAUAAUACUUCAAAUUAAUAAAAAAAUUAAAGUAUUAUAAGUUUGUCAUUAUAUUUUAUUUAACUAAAAUCCGGAUACAUCAAAUUAACAAAAAUGCUACUAUACGCACAUCAUCAAGAACAAUCAUCAUUGGGGCUCUAAUUCUCCAUUCAAAAUGCAAAUUCCGUUUUGGGACCAAAUCAUUGCCCAUUCUUCCAUCAUCCCCUCCAUGACCCCUUGUUUAUCUGUUGGCCAUAAGAUCCAUGUUAUUAUCUCUUUCGCGACGCAUUCUCAAGAACCGAAACCUCAAAUCGAACCACAAGUUGCAAAGCCGAAGAGGAAAAGAAAAGCAAAAGCAGGGAGUCCUUAAGUUUCAAACAAAAGAAGAGAUUUUGAGUCGUGGGGCUUUUCACUUCAUGAUCCAAGGUUUUACCUUUAUUUUUGUUUCAGGUCAUUUGGGUUGUCAUUGUCGAAACCACAAGUAGCAGGGCCAAGUCCUCUUCCUUCGACAUCAAAGCUCCUAGAUGCUUCAAUGCUGUUGAAUUUGCCAACGGCUGGUUUAGAUGGCAGUGAGAUAGGGUUUUGCACUGCUACUACAUUCUUCUAUUAAGGGAAAGGCAUUUGUGGCUCACCUACGUUUGUCAUGUCCGUAACAGAGGCAUAAGAUGAGGUGCGGUGCCUGCACAAUCUGGUCCCAACAACAACAGCAAUCAUUUUGCUGGUAGCAAUCUCUGGUGCUGCUUAUAUAAUGAGGAAGAAAUAUGAAGAACUGCGCGAAGAUUGGGAAUGUCACGACCCGAUUCCCGGAUCCAUGACCGCCACAUAGAUAAGGUUCCUCUCCAAGGUUCCAUACCUAUGCGAACCCAAACUUACAUACAAUCUUAUCCUUUAAACAAUUUAAUCAGAGUUCAACCCAGCAUUAACAACAAACUAAUUUUAUAAUAUAAUUUAAUUGUCUUAAUACAAGAGUUAAUAUAAUUUUAUAGUUUUGGAGCACUAACUAGACAUAAAGGAAAAUGUACAAAUUACAACCAAAAGAGCAGGUUUUGAAGAUCCAACAAAAGUGACCUAUUAUCAAGCUAUAAGCCUGAAAAGGUAAAUAAUGAGAGGUUGAGUUCAACAACUCAGUGAGUAGAUAACGUUCAAUAUACACACACGAGGUAAUACAACAAUGAGAAAUAUAUAUACAAGUAUGACUUUAGGUUCUUAUAUAAAUGUUUUUCAAAAUGGCCAUAAUAAGAAGAUCAUAUGGUAAAACUCGUCAGAAAAUCAAAAUGCAAUGAGCAUGAGGCUCCGUACUGUAGGAUGAUCAGUCCACACAGGUUGGUGACUCCCCCGACCAACUAGGGUUCAGAUACGAUGUGCACAAAGACUAACACUACCAUGUUAGCAUGGGUAUUCUGACUGACAUACCAUAAAUUCAUAAUCAUAAUCAAACAGACAUAUUCAUAUCUCAAGGCUCAGCUCAUGACAUCAAUCAAAUGAGGAGCUAUCAAUUCAGAAGUCAAUUCAAAAUAUAUACUGGUUUAUAUCCAGAAUUCAGAUUCAACAAUUGAUCAUAUAUAUAUAUAUAUAUUAUCAAGAAGCAUGAUCCAAUUCAUAAUAACAAAUCAAAUAUUUAUAAUAUUUCUCAUGUAUAUGAAAAAUUAUCCACUCACCUGACUCGAAAGCAAAUAGCACUCAAAAGCCGAUACCGAAGGUAAUCCCACUAAUGUCCCGCUGGUAGAAUAUCAUGAUUAUCUGAUUACAAAGGAGACAUAUUCAAGAAUGACUCAAAAGAAUAUAUAUAACCUAUUUAAUACACUUAUCUAAGGGUGUAUUCCAUAACUCUAUAUGUUUUUAGACUAAACUAGUUAUUUUCCCAGAAACCCAAAAAUUAACGGUUUUCCUGAAAUAUAAUCCAUAAUAAAACAAAUAAUAAAAUUGAUAAUAAUUCACUAUAUAACCCUCAAUUAUUCAUCAAACCAAUCUGCAAAAGCUAAUAUUACAGCUAUGGACCAAUUUGUAAUUUAUCAUAUUUCUAAGGGUCAAAUUGUAACUUUUGUCAAAUUGAAGGACCAAACUAAAAAUAUCAUAAAUUUAUCACUAUACUGAAAUUCUGACCAUAAUUAAUCCUCAAUUCUGUCCAGAAUAUCUCAUUAUGCUCCAGGGACCAUUCUGGAAUUUUACCAAAUUGUUAGGGUCAAAUUGUAAUUUUUGUCAAAUUGAAGGACCAAAUUGAAAGUGUUAAAAUUUCAUAACUAUACAGGAAUUCUGCCCAUGAUUUAUCUUUUGUUCUGUUCAGAAUCUCGAAAUAUGCUCAAGGGACCAAUCUGUAAUUUUCCCAAGUUUGGGGAAAAACUGUAAUUUUCACAAAUUGAGGGACCAAACAAAAUUUUGUCAUCUUCAACCUCAAACCCAGAAUUUUCACAGAUUACCUACUGUUCUUUCCAGAUUUCUAACUCAAAAUUCACCAUUUACACAAAUCAUCAUCUUUACCUACAAUCUCUCAAAAUCAACUAAACAAUCCAUUACCCACAACAAUCAACCCAUAACAUUCAAAUUAAUUCAUCAAUUAAACCCAAAACAAAAUCUUCAAAACCCUAACAUUCAUCAAAACCGAAAUUUAAAGCUUAUAUAACACAUAUUUAUACAUAAUCUUACCUUUAAACUUAUUUCCUCCAACUCAUUUCUAAUUUUCUUCUAAUUUUCUUCUUUUCUCUUUUUCUUCUUCUUUCUCCCUUCUCUCCUGCCGUCCCUCACACUGAAAUUUCAGAUCCCUCUUUCCCUUUUUUUUUUUUACUUUCUAUUUAUAUUUAUCAUCUCUUUAUUCAAUUACUACUAUACCCUUCAUUAAUUUAUUCCUACAUCUAAGCCUUCAAGGCUUUGUAGUCUUUUCCUAUCUCUUUUAAUUCAAAACAUUACAGGGAACAGGAAUAUGGUCCUCAAAGAUUCUCCUACAAGGAUUUAUACAAAGCAACUACAGGUUUCACAGACAGGAAGUUGCUGGGAAGUGGAGGCUUUGGAAAGGUUUACAGAGGAGUAUUGCCUUCUUCCAAUAUGCAAAUCGCGACCAAGAAAGUAUCCCAUGAUUCCAGGCAAGGAAGUAAGGAAUUCGUUGCUGAGAUUGUUAGCAUGGGAAGGCUGAGGCACAGGAACUUGGUCCAGCUCUUCGGCUAUUGCCAGCGAAAGGGAGAGCUCCUCUUGGUCUAUGAUUAUAUGCCCAAUGGAAGCCUAGAUAAACUCCUAUUUCGCAAUGAGACACCCAGCCUUAAUUGGGCUCGGCGAUAUCAAAUCAUCAGGGGAGUUGCGUCUGCCCUUCUUUAAAGGGCACGUUUGGGAACGCGGCUGCGGCUGCGUUCCUAAAAUUUGAAAUUUUUUUUUUUUUUUUACUAAAAUUUAAUAUGGUUUGGAUCGUUUUGAUGUGCUGAUGUCAAAAAUGAUUUUUAAAAAAUUAAAAAACAUCAUUGGCAUGCAUUUUGGCACAAAAAGUUAUUUGAAAAGCACCCGCAAUCACACUGUAAAAAAUGCUCUUUACCUCCAUGAAGAGUGGGAACAAGUUGUUCUGCAUAGAGAUGUAAAAGCUAGCAAUGCUUCAUGGAGGAUUGAUUACGUAAAUAUGUACAUUAAGACUUGUUCGAUGUGAAAUAUAGAGGAAGGUGCCACAGAAUUUUGAAGAUUGUAGCGUUUCUGCAAUUUUUUUCCAGCCACUUUGUCUUGUGAGCUCUUACCAUAGAACAGUCACCCUCCCUGCAGACCGUAAGCCCAGAGGUAAGGAGGGCUUCUAUACAAAUAUUUCUUAACUAGCAGAAUUAAUAGAUUUAUGGAAACAUAUAACAAAUUCUAUUUAAACUUAGCAUGCAUUGCCAAUCGAUCCUGGUUGAUUAUUGUGAUAUUUGUUGAUUAAAGUCAAUCGAUGAUGGUUGAUUUAUGGUUUAUCAAGUUAGUUUUGGAUUGAUGUCUUAAACAUCAAAUAAAUAAUAAAUUAUAUAAACAAAAUAGAUGUAUUUACUUGCUAAAGAAUUAUAUACAAACAAAGAAAGCAGGUUAUGUUGCUGUAAAUUAAUGAUUCAAUUAUUUAUUAUAAAUGUUAAAUUUCUUGUUUUAAUGUAAACAGUCUCAAUAUAUAUAAACUGCUUUUCAGGAUUCAAAUAACAUUACUUUAAAAUAUUGCACUAUAAAUCAAGGCCUAAAUGUUUUUAAAAAAUAAUAAUUAAAUGACCUCACUAAUCAAGCGUAUUAAUUCAUGUAUUGGUAAAAAAUAUUUUAUAAUUAACUCAAGUUCUAGUCAAGCACGUCAUUUAAGCUCAAAAUCUACAUUGUCUAGAGUCUCUCUCGUCUAAAAACUUUUGUGUGUUAUAAGCUAAUUUAAAUAUUCAACUUCUUACUAUAUAAGUUACAAGAUCUUAUAAUCUUUCAAUUUAGAAUUAAUGUUAUUUAAAUUUUUUAAUAUUAAUUUCUUAUUUAUUCAUAAUUUAUUUUAAACAUAUUAAUUUUUAUGUUAAAAUAAUUAAUUAAUUUGGGGAAUAUUUUUUAAAAAUGGUUGGUUAAUUCAAAUGAUCCCCAUAAAUCUUGUCAUUGUUUCUUAAAAUUGAUAAAAUUAUAGAACUCAAAUCCUACUUAAUCAAAAAAGAAAAAAAAAAAAAAGGACGAGAGCUAAAUGGCCAGAGGCAUAAGUGGAGCGGAUUUAAGGAUAAGCGUAUGAUAAGAAUAAUUCGUGUGCUAUGUAUGCAUCUUACCACUAGGAGACGGGACGAGAGCCACGCCAACACAUUAGGUGUUACUUGCUCCACCUCAAGCUUCUUUCUUAGCCAUUAAGUGUCGGUUACGAUUUUUAUAAGUGUCGUAAUCGUUGUUUUUAAAGUAUUUUUAAUUUAAAAAUAUAUUAAAAUAAUAUUUUUUUAUUUUUUAAAAAUUAUUUUUUAUAUCAACAUAUAAUAAUAAUCUAAAAAUAAAAAAAAAUAUUAAUUAUAAAUAAAGCCCUGUGGUUACUCAUAUGAUGGCCACUGGAGGCUUACAUGGUCGUUAACUUCAGGACCCGUGAGAUUAGUCAAGGUGCGCGCAAGCUGGCCCGGACACCUACGUUAAACUAAAAAAAAAAACCCAAAGUAGACUAAAAAUUUAGAGUUAGCAUUGAGACUCAAUCAGAGAGCCCACUUCGACCAUCCUUCAAAGAUUAGAGUUGUUGAUAAAUUGACUGGAUAUUUGGAGUUUGGUUGUGAUUGUUUUUUGAAAUAUUUUUUAUUUAAAAAUAUAUUAAAAUAAUAUUUUUUAUUUUUUAAAAAAUAUUUUUAACAUCAAAAUGAUCUAAAAACACUAAAAAAUAUUAAUUUAAAGUAAAAAAAAUAAAAUAAAAAUUAAUUUUUUUUAAAACUAUUUUUAAAAUACAAGAAUAAAUAAUACAUUUGCAUUAAAGACAGAAUUGUCAUUUUCAAUUAGCUAUCAAUAUUUAACAAGGAGCAGUGCUUUUUCUAAGAUGGGAUCGUUCUUUUGUAUAAAGUCAAAGAUGGCCACCUAGAAAUAACGUCUUUGAAAUGGAAUUUUCGUGUUAUGGUCACCCUUUAAAUUAAAUUAAAUUAAAAAUAAAUAAAUAAAUGCCGACACAUACUUGACCAAGUUUAUUCAUUGGAAUGGUGCAUUUGCAGAUUUGCCCUUAUGCACUGAAAUAUUGAGGUUUAAUUUAGUCUGGGAUCCAUUUAUCUUUAUCAAAUUCAUCAAGAGCAAAAAGAUCUUCACAUGUUAUUUUUUUCACUCUAAAAUGACAAAAAAGCCUUUAAGAGAAAGGAAUUAUUAAACUAGUUUUCAAGGGCUUAUUUGUCCUUACACUUUCUUAACCGUAGUAAAAAACUGAUGUACACUUGCAAGCAAAAAUAAUUAACCUGCAUUGGCUUUUUCAUCUUUUCAAACUAGUAUUUUUUAUUAUAAUGAAGUUGAUUUAAAUGUAAUUUUAUCAUUUAAUAAAUAUAAAUAUUAAAAAAACAAAUGGACACAUGAGCUUUUUCUAGUGUUAUUUGUGUGGCCUGAAAGAUGAUGUUUGGGGCAAAUAGUGGCUUUCAAGAUAGUGUUGGAAUCGUCUUUACAGACCCUCUAUGUGUAGGCUAUAUUUAUGGCCAACUAAUCUAAGAUUUGGCAUUAAUGAUUUUUUUUUCUUCUCCUCAAUUUCCACACCUGACCUUCUAGAUUUUAAAAUCAGCCUUUCAAUUUGUUUUUUCUUUGAGUUUGGUCUCUUUUCUUUUUAUUACUAUUUGUUUUAUUUGAAAUAAUUUAUAAAAUUGGAAUUCUUUUCAACUUGAUCCUCCCUCAAUUUUUUCAUCUAUUAAAUUUGAUCAUCAUUCUUUUGAUUGAUAUUUAUUUGUUUUAAAUGGUUUUUUAAAUUGAACUUUCUUUUUUUACGAUUUUAUCCUCCUUCAAUAUUUUUCCUAUCAAAUUUUAUCCUCAUUUUCUCAUUCUUUUUUUUUAAGCUCGUGUUUCUUUAGUUUCAUCAUUCGAUAUUUAUUUAAUUAGAGAUUGGGCUCCGUUAUUUUUUUAUUUUAUUUUAGUAAAAACUUUCAUUGGUUUUAAAAAUGACAUGGGUUGUCUUGAGUUUUUUUAUUUGUCACUCUUUGUUAAAUUUAGCCUUUUUUUGGGGAAAUUUUAUUUUUUCUUAAAUUAAAUUAAAUUAUUUGAUUGAAUAUAAGCAUGAGUUACUCACUUCAUGAUAUUUUAUUUGGUUUUCUUUCUAGUGGUAAGGCGGUGUCCACGGUGAAAUGAUGAUGAAUCCCCAACAAGCUUUUCCUUCAUUUGCUCUCGGGUAUUAUAUUGGCAACUAUUUUUUUAUAGUUAACUAUUGCCAAAAAAAUUUGUUUUAUUUCCCAUCAAUAUUAUUAAAUUAAUCGAACUUAUUAAAUCCAAAUUUGUUUUGCUUUUUUAAAAACAUUGGCGCCCUCGAACAUUCUUUUUUUUUUUUGUCAAUUUGUUUUUCAAUUUAGCUAUUAUUGUUGCAUUUUUUAUUUGUAUUAUUUAAAUUAGCUUAGCUUAUUAAUUCCAGAAAAAAAAUGACUCAAGUCUUAUAUUUUUUUUUUACUUUUUAGAAACAAUUGUGUCGUCUUAGCAUCUUUUUUAACAUUAAAAAAAAAAUUCAGCCAGCACAAGCCACCCAUCUAGUUUGCAAUCUACGACCCCAUUUCCAUUUGCUCAUAAGAAUCAGGCUUGAACAUCCUUUUAAGUUUAGAUAAAUUAAAGAAAUGCCACCCAGUGCUCUUUGUCACUUCAAUCUUCUUUUUACCCUAAAUUAAGUACAGUUCCUUCAACACUUCAAAUCUGUGAACAAACAGAGAUUUAAAACUAUUGAUUCAAUCUUCAAUAUUCAGUAAAAUGAUAAUUAUUUUGGAAGUCCAAUUAGUAAUAGAAUUUAUUUUCUUGCCAUAGAAGAUUUUAGAAUUUUAUUUUCUUUGACCUUGUAUCCACUUUGAAAAGUAGUUUUCCCUAUUUUUUUCUAAGAAAAAGCUUUGGAGGGUUCGAGGGGCCCAAGUCAUAGCAAUGUGACGAGACUUGUUUAUAAUUCAGUCUUUAGACUGAGGAUUUGAAACUGUAACUGAAGAAGCAAAUAAGGAGAAACUCGAAGCGAAAAAAGUUUGUUUUCUUUUACCAAUGUGUAACUGAAGAAGCAAAAACAAUCUUCUGCACGUUCUUAUGAUGAUUGCAUCGUUCAAAUCAUUGCACUUUCUACUCGGCCUGUUUGUUUCCUUGAAGCUCUUGGCCUUAGCUCAAGAGGAAAACCACUUCAUCUAUCAUGGCUUCACUGGCGCCAACCUGCUCCUCAGCGAGAUUGCAAAAAUCCAUCCAAAUGGUCUCUUAGAGCUGACAAACACUUCAACACAGCAAAUUGGCCGUGCUUUCUUCCCAUUCCCUUUUCAGUUCAACACAUCUUUAUUCAACAAUUCUCGGUCUCUCUCCUUCUCUACCCAGUUUGCGUUUUCCAUGGUCCCGGAGCUGCCUACCCUUGGUGGCCAUGGCAUGGCCUUCACGAUCUCUCCAUCUGUGAACUUCACAGGGGCUUGGGCAACUCAGUACUUGGGAAUCCUCAAUUCUACAAGCAAUGGCCUGUCUUCAAACCAUCUAUUGGCAGUUGAGCUGGAUGCAAUUCGAAGCCUGGAUUUUAAAGACAUCAAUGACAACCACGUUGGAAUUGAUGUAAACGACUUGACAUCCAUUGAAUCUGCUCCGGUGACCUACUUUUCAGGUGAGGAAAACGAGAAUAAGAGCUUGGCUCUCAUAAGUGGUCUUGUGAUGCACGUGUGGAUAGAUUACGAUGAAGUAGAGAAGCUACUCAAUGUUACGGUUGCUCCUAUCACAAGAACAAAACCAACCUUGCCUCUCUUGUCAACACCGCUCGAUCUUUCUUCUGUUAUGUUGGAUUCUAUGUACGUUGGUUUUUCUUCAUCUACUGGAGCAGUGGCUAGCAGCCACUAUAUUCUGGGGUGGAGCUUCAACAGAGGCGGACAAGCUCAAAGUCUUGAUGUGUCAAAGUUGCCUUCACUUCCCCAUCAAAGAAAAUCAAGGAAGAAAUCACAUUUAAGAAUUCUGGUCCCAGCAAUAACAGCAGUCAUUUUGCUGGUAGCAAUCUCUGGUGCUGCUUAUAUAAUAAGGAGUAAGAAAUAUGAAGAACUGCGCGAAGAUUGGGAACAGGAGUAUGGUCCUCAAAGAUUCUCCUACAAGGAUUUAUACAAAGCAACUACAGGUUUCACGGACAGGAAGUUGGUGGGAAGUGGAGGUUUUGGAAAGGUUUACAGAGGAGUAUUGCCUUCUUCCAAAAUGCAAGUCGCGAUCAAGAAAGUAUCCCAUGAUUCCAUACAAGGAACUAAGCAGUUUGUUGCUGAGAUUGUUAGCAUGGGAAGGCUGAGGCACAGGAACUUGGUCCAGCUCCUAGGCUAUUGCCGGAGAAAGGGAGAGCUCCUCUUGGUCUAUGAUUACAUGCCCAAUGGAAGCCUUGAUAAACUCCUAUUUCGCAAUGACACACCCAGCCUUAAUUGGGUUCAGCGAUAUCAGGUCCUCAGAGGAGUUGCGUCUGCCCUUAUUUACCUCCAUGAAGAGUGGGAACAGGUUGUUCUGCAUAGAGAUGUGAAAGCUAGCAAUAUACUGUUAGAUGAUGAUUUCAAUGGUCGACUAGGAGAUUUUGGGCUUGCUAAAUUCUAUGAUCGUGGGGCUAAUCCUCAAACAACCUGUGUGGUUGGAACAGUUGGAUAUAUCGCGCCAGAGGUUACUAGAACAGGAAGGGCCACUACCAGCAGUGAUGUUUUUGCUUUUGGCACUUUUAUGCUUGAAAUGGCUUGUGGAAGGAAACCUGUAGAGCCAGAACAAUCAGCAGAAAAGAUGAUUUUGGUUGACUGGGUUCUUGAUUCCUGGAAAAUAGGAGACAUUCUUCGAACAGGUGAUCCAAGAUUGGAAGGUAAUUACGUGGUGGAGGAAAUGGAAUUGGUUUUAAGGCUAGGUCUGCUUUGUUCUUUCUCUACACCACAAGCUAGGCCAAGCAUGAGGCAAAUUUCGCAAUAUCUGGAUGGGAAUGCUAGCCUGCCAGAGAUGCCUCUUGAUGGUGCUAGCAUAGGUUUGAUGCCAGUUAGUCAUGAAGAGCCUGGGGAUUUCACCUUGUCUUUCCAUAGAUCUAAUGAUUACUCUGCUCAUUCCUUCUCUAGUACCGACUCAAUCCUCAGCUGUGGUCGUUGAAUCAUGGCUUAACGAGGUAAAAAUUCUUUAACCUAAAGACUAACAGCUGGCAUGUGGCAAGCCUGGUAUUAGUGGUGAAGAGGAAGGUAGAUUGGAAUACUUAGAGGGUUACCUUGUUUGUGCAUACCAUAGUAAUCCUCAAAACACAACAAAGACUGCUCCAUGAGGGGUUAAUUAAUUAGCAUACAAACAUAGGUAUAAUUUAUGAUUUAAGCAAAACACAUGGUUGAAAUAGUACAAUGUUUGAUGAAACAAUGCUGGUCAAUGAUGGCCGUUUAGCUUCUUCCAUUCUCCUCAGUGCUCUAACCCCACCCCACAAUUCAACUCAACUAUGCCUCAUUCCCAAACUAGUUAGAAUCAGUUUCACAGAUCUUCCUUCUCCAUUCAUUUAGUCCUUGUUCCUUUUUUGAUAAAACUCUCCACUUACUUCUGUUAUGGACUCAAAAGAUUAAUCACUUAUGCCUACCUCGUUUUUACAUGGAAGGUUAAUUACAUAUUGAACUAUUCUGACUUCUGAUAUAGUGAUCUGCAGAAAGCAUAGGCUUCAGUCAACUUUUUAAAAUACAGAAAAUCCAACACCCAGUAUCAUCGAUUAUCCUAACUAGAGUGCAGUUCAGUGUGAUAUGGCUGCUGGCCGGGUGGUUUAUUCACAGACUAGUAGUGGAAUAAAAAAAAAUGGUGAUAAUGUAUCUUGAUGCUGAUGUUAUACACACAUAUAACUGUUUUAAUCUUUCUACAAACAGUCAAGAUUGCAAAAACCACGUUCAAGGAAGAAAGAAGAUAUAGACAGCAGCUUUGUAGGCUGAAAAGGGUUUAAAACACCAGCCAAGAAAAAGUAAAAGAAACAUUGCAACAAAAUUUGCAAUAAGAAGGCAGCAAUAUUAAUAAUCCUGCUUUCAGAAAGAGUGUAGAUAUCCAAUUACCUAAUGAAAAGGCUAGAGAUGUCUGAUCAAUAAGCUUCCAUCAUUUCUCCUGGUUAUUGGGUCACAGCUUGUUGCGGAUGAGGCAGCGCAACCUCUUGGGACAGGGUACGUUCACUUGUUGUGCAGCCUUUCCUGCAUCCAAGUACCCUAAGUGAUUAAACAGACUCUAAUUUAUUAAGCACUGGAGAUUAGUUGUAAUGAUCAACUUUAAUUCUAAUUUGGGUCCCUCAAAGAACUUACACAGAGCAAGUUAAACAUGAAGUGACUUGAUUCCAUCUUAGGAAAAACAAGCUCGUACUGGAAAGAUUUAACAGACAUUAGCCUCCCCGAAAAUACCACAAAAAAAAAAAAACAAAAGGAAGUUGAUACAGAUGCAGGAUAGCCAUCAAAGUGAAAAUUACCGGUACUGAUGUGUUCAUAUGAACUCAUGGUGCCCGUUAGAGCUUGUAAGAGAGAACCAACCACUCCCUUUCCUCCUGGUAAUAUCUUGCUGGUCAGAGGUGUCAAAGGCAAGGACUGCAGCCAUGGAUCAACUGGUGUAGUGGCCGUGAGUGACCAAAUCAGCUCACUAAGAUAAUCCGCAAAAGGAAAAGAAAUGAAUCAGGGAAGGGAUGGUCUGUGUUGUGGUGAGGUUUUUAUUAUGAAAUGUCAGGUUUGUUUUUGUAUUUUGAAAGCUUCUUUAACACAAAAAAAAAAAAUUAAUUAAUUAAUUAAUUUUUUUUAAAAUUAAUUUUUUAUAUUUUCAAAUCGAUUAAAAAUAAAUUUUAAAAAUUAAAAAAAUAUUAUUUUAAUAUAUUUUUAAAUAAAAAAUAUUUUAAAAAACAAUUAUUACCGAGCUUGAAAAAUGGCUAAUUGUUAAUAAAAAGUGAAAGAAUUUAUUUACUUUUAUGUUUUAAAAAUAUUUUUAAAAAAAAUUAAAUUUUUAUUAUUUUUUUAAAUUAAUAUUUUUUAGUGUUUUCAUAUCAUUUUAAUAUAUUAAUAUAAAAAAUAAUAUAUAUAUUUAUAUAUAUAUAUAUUAUUAAUAUAUUUUCAAGUGAAAAACAAUUAUAACCACGCCUCUACACAACUGUUAACAAAGGCUGAAGUUCAUAUCAUCACUUAGUAUCACUUUUGAAAUAAAUUUUUUUUAUAUAAGUAAUUUUCAAAUAAUUAACUAAACCACACAAUUAUAUAUGUACACACACACUUUUAUACUAAGGAAACUAAAUGUGUGUUUAACAUCGUGACAGGUUUUACAACUACGAUUUAAAUAUUUGUUAAUAAUAAGAGAAUUCUUUCGACUUUGAAUCUCAAUUUUUAUUAUUGAAUCAGAGCGGCAUUAGGUUGAUGCCAUAGUUCAAUAAUGCUAGGACCUCAACCAUAACAACUAAGAAACUUGAAAGAAGCACUUGAGGUCGUGGCUUAGCAGUCCUAGUAGGAAAUUUUUUGUCUCUAUACCCAGGUUCGACUCUUUAUGUGCACGCCUGUUACUCCCGCAGUGCCUUACUUAUCUACUGGGUUUGCAGGGUGUUCAGUGCAUCCGGGGAUUAGUCGUGGUGCGUGUAAGCUGGACCGAAUACCCCGGAUUAUCAAAAAAAAAAACUUGGAAGAAGAAGAACAAAAAGAAGAAGAGAAUUUACAUGAUUGUUGUGUUCAUUAUUUGUCCUACACCCUAAGAAUUAUUAAAGAACUCUAAAACGCGUGGGAUAUUCACUGUAGCAGGGUUUUUUUUUUUUUUUUUGCUUUUGUUUUUUUUUACAUGUUUUUUUUGCUUUUUUUUUACCCAAAAUUGAUUUCUUCUUCUUUUUUUUGUUUCUUUUUUUUAAAAAAAAAUUUGUUUCAAAAUUAUCUUUGCUAAUUUUUUUAAAUAUUAAGCUGGUUGAAAAUUUAACUAUGUAGUUUUUUUCUUUAAAACAUUGUGGAUUGCUAUAAUAUUAUCAUACAUUGUUUUUUUUUUUUAUGAUUUCUUUAUUCUUUUUUUUUAAAUGGUCUUUGUAGAUUUUAUUUUUUAUAUUAAGUUGGCUAAGAAUUUAGAUUUGUAGUUUUUUUAUAAAAAAAAACAAUAUGGAUUGCAACAGUGUUUCCCCUACAUAGUUUUUGUUUUGCUGCAGUGUUUUCCCAUAUAUUUUUUUAAAAAAUUAUCUUUAUCGAAUUUAUUUUUUCAAUAUUGAGCUGGCUGAUAAUCUAACUUUAGCUUUCCCCAUAUGUUUUUUUUAUUUUUUUAUUUUUUUUUUCCAAAAUUUACAUAUUUUUUUUUUUUCAGAAUUAUUUUUGUUGAUUUUAUUUUUUUACUAUUGAGCUGGUUGAAAAUUUAGUUUUUUUGUCUUUUUCUUUAAAACACUGUAGCUUUCCCACGUGUUUUUUUUUUCACUUUUGUUUCCUUUUUUGUACAUUUUUUCCCAUUUCUUUUACCCAAAAUUGACUUUUUUUUUUUUUUAGAUAGCCUUUGUCGGUUUUUUUUAUAUAUUAAGCUGGUUAAGACAUUAGCUUUGUAGCUUUUUUUAAAAAAAAAAUACUAUGGAUUACUACAGUGUUUUCCUUACAUGGUUUUUGUUUGGCUACAGUGUUUCCCCCACAUGUUUUUUUUUUAAAUUAUCUUUGUUAAAUUUAUUUUUUUCAAUAUUGAGUUGGUUGAGAAUUUAGCUUUAGCUUUAGCUUUCCCCACUUUUUUUUUUUUAAUUUUCCCCACGUUUUUUCAUUAUAAUUAUAAUUAUAAUUAUUAUUAUAUUGUAUUAUAUUAUAUAACUGUUUUUUUCUUUUUUUUUUUUAAUGAAUUUUUUUUGUUUGAUUUAGUUUGUUAAUGUUAAAUUUUUUUUAUUUAGUUAUCAGAUUUUCAUGAUACGAAUCUCAGGUUUGAUGGGUUAACCUGAUUUGAAGAGUUAUUUUUUUCAUUUAGUUUAGUUUGUUAAAGUUAAUUUUCUUUCUAUUUAAUUAUCAGACUUUCAUACUUUCAUGACACGUAUCCUGGGCUUGACGAGUUAACUUGGUUUGAUGGGUUAACCCGGUUAAUUCUAUGUAAACCCGUCAUUUUUUUUUCUAUUUAGUUAUCAAACUUUCAUGACGCAAAUCCCAGGUUUUACGGGAUAACCUGGUUUAAAAGGUUGACCCAAUUAAUUCAAUGUUUUUUUUUCUUUUUCUUCAUUAGUUUUUUCCUUCCUGUUGAUUUUUUUUCUUUGUUUUUUUAAUUAAUCUAUUUAAUUAUUAUACUUUUAUGACACGACCUUAUAGCCAGACCCACAUCCAAUAUUCUUGAGUCCGGUGUUACAGCCAGACUCACUUAAACUUGGGUCAUGCAAGUUUAAUUUUAUUAUUAAUAUUAUAAAUAUUACUCUUAGGUCAGGCGUUGCAGCCAAACCCAAGAUUCUUGGGUAUAACUUUGCAGAAAAACCCAAGAUUUUUAAAUUUUUAUUUUUUUUAAUAUUUUUUAUGCAAAAAAAAUGACCCGCGGCAUCGCGCGGGUAUCAAAGCUAGUAGAAGCUAAUCCAUGUGUUUGAUCUUAUGUUGCUGAAUACUGGAGCAGUCACAAUACUUCCCUUUUGAAUGAGUUCUUGUCCUCAGGAAUUAGCAUUGAACUCGGGAAAUUGUUCGCUCGAUUCCUCAUGAUCCUCCCAUGUUGAGUUUUCCUCAAAUAAGUUGGACCAUUGUACCAGCACCAUGGUAGCAGCUUUGAUUUUGCAAUAGAAAUCACUCUAGCCUUGCCAUACUCAUCAACUGCUGGCAGAUUAGAGGAUAUUACUUCUUGAUCUCCAACCCAAUUUUUUUUUAGUAGUGAAACAUGAAAAACAUGAUGUGUUAAUGUUCCUUCUGGUGGCAGUAGUUUGUAAACCACAUAUUUCACCUUUUGUACCACCUUACAAGGUCGAUAGAAUCUAGGAUUAAGCUUUAAAUUCUUUCUUAAAGCUACUCUUGUCUACUUAUAUGGUUGCAAUUUAAGAUAAAUCAAGCCCCCCUCAUUGAACUCUCUCUUAGAUCUGCGUUUAUCCGUUGUUGUUUCCAACUGCCUCUGAAGAAUGCGAUCCAUGUUUAUUCGAACCUGCAACAUCCCAUCCACAACAGCUACCGGAGAACAUCUUGAACUAUAAUGGUACAUAACCAUACAAUGCUUGAAAGGGAGAUAUCUUAAUGGCAAAGUAAUGGCUGGUGUUGUAGCACUAUUGUGCCAACCAUGAAUACCUCUAAUUGGGACUAUAUAUAGACAUACAUCUUAGGUAAUUCUCUGAUCAUUGAUUAACUCUUUCAGAUGGUCCAUCUGAUUGAGGAUGAUAGGCAGAGCUCAUGAAUAGCUUGAACCACAACCUUUUAAACAGUUCCAAGAUACUUGAAAGUAUCUUGUCUCUUUCUGGUAUAAUUAAAGUUAGCAGACCAUUAAACUUAUAAAAAGAUCCAAAAAUGUGUAUGCAACCUCUUGAGCCGAGAAUGGAUAUGCUAAGGCAAUAAAAUAGGCAUAUUUUAUAUCCAUUGCUACCAUGAUGGUAUACAUGCCUUCAGAUUUAGGAAGUGCUUCAAUGAAGUUCAUUGUGAUAUUCUUUCAUGUACCUAAUUCUGAUAAUAGCAGAGGUUACAACAACCAUGGAUAAGCCACUCGUUUCAUCUUUUCCCUUUUGCAAGUAUCACAUUCUUACACAAACUAUUUAAAACUACAUAAGAAUCUUAAUAAAAGAAACGUCAGCUGAUUGUCAAUUUUGGAAAAACGUUCAAAAGGCUUUGGACAAUGUUGAAGUCGAAGACAAAAUCAAAGCUACAGUAGCCCUUAAUGCUGAUGUUUACGAAUCAUCAUCCAACAACCCCUCUUCGGCUGUUGGGAACGAGCCUUUCUUGUCAAGUUUUAAUAGCACUUGCGACAAUGUUACGUUUACGUUUCCAGCAUUGCAAGACGUUCAUAAGGCUCAAGGCAAUGAUGGAGUCGGAGACAAAAUCAAAGCUAUAGCAGCCCUUAAUGCUGAUGUUCAUGAAUCAUCUUCCAACAAACCACCCGAUGGUAAUUUUAGUAACAACGUAAAGGAUGUCAUGAUUCACACUGAAGUUUCUUCAUCAAAUUAAAGCUCUUUGGCCUACAGAUGGUAACAUUAAUACCGACCCCAAAUUAGCUAAAACAUUCCUUGACGGUCUCCUUAAAGAAGAACUGCGCGAAGAUUGGGAACAAGAGUAUGGUCCUCAAAGAUUCUCCUAAAAAGAUUAUACAAAGCAACUACAGGUUUCACAGACAGGAAGUUGCUGGGAAGUGGAGGUUUUGGAAAGGUUUACAGAGGAGUAUUGCCUUCUUCCAAUAUGCAAGUCGCGAUCAAGAAAGUAUCCCAUGAUUCCAGGCAAGGAAGUAAGGAAUUCGUUGCUGAGAUUGUUAGCAUGGGAAGGCUGAGGCACAGGAACUUGGUCCAGCUCUUCGACUAUUGUCGGCGAAAGGGAGAGCUCCUCUUAGUCUAUGAUUACAUGCCCAAUGGAAGCCUUGAUAAACUCCUAUUUCGCAAUGACACACCCAGCCUUAAUUGGGCGCAGCGAUAUCAAGUCAUCAGGGGGGUAGCAUCUGCCCUUCUUUACCUCCAUGAAGAGUGGGAACAGGUUGUUCUGCAUAGAGAUGUGAAAGCUAGCAAUGUUCUAUUAGAUGCCGAUCUUAAUGGACGGCUAGGAGAUUUUGGGCUUGCUAAGUUUCAUGAUCAUGGAUCAACUCCCCAAACAACCAAUAUGGUUGGAACAGUUAGAUAUCUUGCACCAGAGAUAGCUAGAACAGGAAAGUCAACUACCUGCAGCGAUGUUUUUUCUUUUGGGACAUUUAUGCUCGAAGUAGCAUGUGGAAGGAAGCCUGUAGAGUCAGAAAGACCACUUGAGGAGGUUGUUCUGGUUGACUGGCUUGAAUGCUAGAAGAGAGGUGCCAUUCUUGGGAUAGUUGAUCCUAGAUUUGAAGGUAACCACGUAGAGGAAGAAAUGGAGUUGGUCUUAAAGCUAGGCCUGCUUUGUACACACCGCACUCCAGCAGCUAGACCUAGCAUGAGGCAAGCAGUGCAAUAUAUGGAUGGAAAUGCUACUUUACUUGAUUUACCACUUCACGGUGCAGGAAUUGGUUUAGUUCCAGUUAGCAAUGAAGCCUAGAGAGCAAGUUUUAACAAGAGCAAGUUUUAACAAUCCCUUGAGGCCUAUCAUCAGGUGAAAUUUCUUCAUAUUCCUUGUCCGACUCUGAAUCAAUCCUCGGUGGUCGUUGAACCAGCAAUGCUUCAUGGAGGAUUGAUUACGUAAAUAUGUACAUUAAGACUUGUUCGAUGUGAAAUAUAGAGGAAGGUGCCGCAGAAUUUUGAAGAUUGUAGCAUUUGUGCAAUUUUUUCCAACCACUUGUAUCUUGUGAGCUGUUACCAUGGAAUAAUCGCCCUCCCUGCAGACCGGAAGCCCAGAGGCAAGGAGGACUUGUAAGAGUUAUUCUAUUUAUAUUUAAACUUAGCAUGCAUGAUGAAUCCAUCCUGGUUGACUAUAAAUCAAGGCCCUAAAUAUUUUUUAAAAAAAAAUUAAAUGACCUUACUAAUCAUGACUAUUAAUUCAUGCAUUGAUAAAAAAAUAUUUUAUAAUUAAUUCAAGUCCUAGUCAAGCACGUGAUUUAAGUUUAAAAUCUACAUCGUCUGGAGUCUCUCUCAUCUAAAAACUUUUGUGUCUUAUGAGUCAAUUUAAACAUUCAACUUCUCUACAAGAUCUUAUAAUCUUUCAAUUUAGAAUUAAUGUUAUUUAAUUUUUUUAAGAUUAAUUACUUAUUCCACCCUAAUUUAUUUUAAAUAUAUUAUAUUUUUAUGUUAAAAUAAUUAAUUAAUUUGGGGAUUUUUUUAAAAAUGGUUGGUUAAUUCAAAUGAUCCCCGUAAAUCUUUUCAUUGUUUCUUAAAAUUGAUAAAAUUAUAGAACUCAAAUCCUACUUAAUCAAAAAAGGAAAAAGAAAAAAAAAAGAUGAGAGCUAAAUGAUUUAAGGAUAAGUCGUAUGAUAAGAAAAAAAGAUGGUUGAUUAUUGUGAUGUUUGUUGAUUAAAGUCAAUCGAUGAUGGUUGAUUUAUGGUUUAUCAAGUUAGUUUUGGAUUGAUGUCUUAAACAUCAAAUAAAUAAUAAAUUAUAUAAACAAAAUAGAUGUAUUUACUUGCUAAAGAAUUAUAUACAAACAAAGAAAGCAGGUUAUGUUGCUGUAAAUUAAUGAUCCAAUUAUUUAUUAUAAAUGUUAAAUUUCUUGUUUUAAUGUAAACAGUUUCAAUAUAUAUAAACUGCUUUUCAGGAUUCAAAUAACAUUAUCUUAAAAUAUUGCACUAUAAAUCAAGGCCUAAAUGGUUUUUAAAAAAAAUAAUUAAAUGACCUCACUAAUCAAGCGUAUUAAUUCAUGUAUUGAUAAAAAAUAUUUUAUAAUUAACUCAAGUUCUAGUCGAGCAUGUCAUUUAAGCUCAAAAUCUACAUUGUCUAGAGUCUCUCUCGUCUAAAAACUUUUGUGUGUUAUAAGCUAAUUUAAAUAUUCAACUUCUCACUAUAUAAAUUAUAAAAUCAUUUAAUCUUUUAAUUUAGAAUUAAUGUUAUUUAAAUUUUUUAAGAUUAAUUGUUUAUUCAUCUAUAAUUUAUUUUAAACAUAUUAAUUUUUAUGUUAAAAUAAUUAAUUAAUUUGGGGAAUAUUUUUUUAAAAUGGUUGGUUAAUUCAAAUGAUCCCCAUAAAUCUUGUUAUUGUUUCUUAAAAUUGAUAAAAUUAUAAAAUUCAAAUCCAACUUAAUCAAAAAUAAAUAAAUAAAUAAAGACGAGAGCUAAAUGGCUAGAGGCACAAGUGUAGCGGAUUGAAGGAUAAGCGUAUGAUAAGAAUAAUCCGUGUGCUAUGUAUGCAUCUUACCAUUAGGAGACGGGACGAGAGCCACGCCAACGCAUUAGGUGUUACUUUCUCCACCUCAAGCUUCUUUCUUAGCUAUUUCGAGGGUGUUUGGUAGUGUGGUAGCGGUUGCUUUUUAAAUAGCUUUUCGUGCCGAAAUACAUGCCAAUGAUGCUUUUUCAUUUUUUAAAAAUCAUUUUUAACAUCAGCACAUCAAAACGAUCCAAAAAGUACAAACCGCACUCAAUUUUAGCAAAAAAAAAAAUUGAAAUUUGUUGAAAAGCAGGGUGAACCGCAGAGCCAAACAGGCUUCGUGUCGGUUACGGCAUGACAUGACUUCUAUAAUCUCUACUAUUUAUUAUAUUUAUUCAUUAUUAUUUUUUUAAAGAGUUUUUUAACAAUGAUUUUUUAAAGUAUUUUUUUGGAAAUAUAUUAAAAUAAUAUUUUUUAUUUUUAAAAAAUUAUUUUUAAUAUCAACACAUCAAAAUAAUUUAAAAAUACUAAAAAUAAUAUUAAUUUUAAAUAAAAAAUAAUUUUUUUCAAAAAUAUUUUUAAAACAUUAACGUAUUACUAAACCUACAUUUACUUGUUUGUUGUCAUCUUUACCCUCUCUAUCUUUCUGGAUCAAAACCUAAAGUAGACUAAAAAUUUAGAGUUACGUAUUGAGAAUCAAUCAGAGAGCCCACUUCGACCAUCCUACCAAGAUUAGAGUUGUUGAUAUGUUCAGGAGUGUUUGAAGUUUGUUUUUGAUUGUUUUUUAAAAUAUUUUUAAUUUAAAAAUAUAUUAAAAUAAUUUUUUUUAUUUUAAAAAAAAUUAUUUUUCACAUCAACACAUUAAAAUUAUUUGAAAACAUAAAAAAAAUUAAUUUGAAGUAAAAAUAAAUAAAUAAAAAUAAUUUUUUAAAAAAAUACUUUUAAAAUAUAAAAAUAAACAACUCUUAAAAUUAAAUACAGAAUUGUCAUUUUCAGUUAGCUAUCAAUACUUAACAGGGCGCAAUGCUUUUUCUAAAAUGGGAUCGUUCUUUUGUAUAAAGUCAAAGAUGGCCGCCUAGGAAUUUUCGUUCACCCUUUAAAUUAAAUUAAAUUAAAAAUAAAUAAAUAAAUCUCGACACAUGCUUGACCAAGUUUAUUCACUGGAAUGGUGAAAUUUGCCCUUGCACUGAAAUAUUGAGGGCAAUUUAGUCUGGGAUCCAUUUAUGUUAUCAAAUUCAUCAAGAGCAAAAACAUCUUCACGUGUUAUUUUUUUCACUUUAAAAUGACAAAUAAGCCUUUAAAAGAAAAGGAGUCAGUAAAAAGACCUUAUUUGUCCUUCCACUUUCUCAAGUGUGGUAAAAGACUGAUAUACACUUGCAAGCAAAAACAAUUAACUUGCAUUGGCUUUUUCAUCUUUCAAACUAGUUUUUUGGGUUAUAAAUAUUGUUUUUUUUUUUUUAGAUUUACGUGGGGUGUCCGGGUCAGCUUACGCGCACCACGACUAUUCCUCACAGCCCACUGGACAUCCUGCAAGCCCAGGAGCAGGUAAGGCACCGCGGGGGUGACAGGCGUGCACAUAGAGGGUCGAACCUGGGACGGGGGCGGAACAAGUCACACGAUUGACCACAGCAGCUAGACCCUCAAGUGCUAUAAAUAUUGUUUUUGCUUGCACUUGUAUAAAUAUUAAAAAAAACAUUUGGCACAUGAGCUUUUCUUGUAUUAUUUAUGUGGCUACUACGAUGAUGUUUGGAGGCAAAUAAUGGCUUUCAAGGUGGUGUUGAAAUCGUUUUGAUAGCCCCUCUAUGCUUGUGGCCAACUGAACUAAGGUUUGGCGUUAACGAUAUUUUUUUUUUCUUGCUCUUCCUCGAUUUCCACACCUAGCCCACUGGAUUUUAAAACCAGCCCUUCAAUUAGUUUUUUCUUUGAGCUUGUUUUUUUUUUUAUUAUUAUUAUUUGUUUUAUUUGAAAUAAUUUAUAAAAUUGAAAAAAAAAUUAAUUUCAUCCUCCCCCAAUUUUUUCAUCUAUUAAAUUUGAUCCUCAUUCUUUUGAUUGCUAUUUAUUUAUUUUAGAUGGUUUUUAGAAUUGAACUUUUUUUUUUACGAUUUCAUCCUCCUUCAACUUUUUUCUAUCAAAUUUUAUCCUUAUUUUCUCCUCUCUUUUUUUAAGCUUUUGUUUCUUUAGUUUCAUCAUUCGGUAUUUAUUUAAUCAGAGAUUGGGCUUCAUUUUUUUUUCUGUAGAAACUUUUAUUGGUUUUGAAAAUGACAUGAGUUGUCUUGAGUCUUUCUAUUUGUCGUUUUUUGUUAAAUUUAGUUUUUUUUGGGAAAUUUUAUUUUUUUAUUAAAUUAAAUUAAAUUAAUUAACUUCGUGAUGUUUUGCUUGGUUUUCUUUCUAGUGGUAAGGUGGUGUUCACGGUGAAGUGAUGAUAAAUCUCCAACGAGCUUUUCCUUCAUUUGCUCUCAGGUAUUAUAUUGAUAGCUAUUUUUUUGUAGUUAACUAUUGCCAAAAAAAACUUUAUUUACCAUUGAUGGAUUUUUUUAUAAUAUUAUUAAAUUAACCGAAUUUAUUGAAUUUGUUUUGUUUCUUUAAAAACAUUGGCGACCCUCGAACAUUUUUUUUUUUUUUGUCAAUUUGUUUUCCAAUUUAGCUAUUAUCAUUAUAUUUUUUAUUUGUAUUAUUUAAAUUAGCUUAGCUUAUUCAUUCUAGUGAGAAAACAAUUUACUUUUUAGAAACAAUUGUGUUAUCUUAACAUUUUUUUUAACGUUAAAAAAAAAAAAAAAAAAAAAAAAACCUCAGCCAGCGAAAGCCACCCAUCUAGUUUGCAAUCUAUGACCCCAUUUCCAUCUGCUCAUACGAAUCAGGCUUGAACAUCCUUUCAUUUUGGUUUAGAUAAAUUAAAGAAAUGCCACCCGGUGCUCUUUGUGACUUCAAUCUUCUUUUUACCCUAAAUUAAUUACAGUUCCUUCAACACUUCAAAUCUGUGAACAAACUAGGGAAUUCUGGAAAACCAUGUCUGAGUCCGGACACUUGCGCACCGCAUAUCCGAGCAACGGAGAUUCACGGCUGUUUAAGAUUGUAAUAGCGGUGACGGUUCAAAAUACUUUUUAUUUAUAAAUAUAUUAAAAUAAAGUUUUUUCAUUUAAAAAAAUUAUUUUUGACAUCAGCACAUUAAAACGAUCUAAAAACACAAAAAAAAUAAUUUUAAACAAAAAAAAUUAAAAUUUUUUGAAACAUGGUUUGCAUCGCGUUCCUAAACAUGCUCUUAAAACUAUUGAUUCCAUCUGCAAUAUUCAGUAAAAUGAUAAUUAUUUUGGAAGUCCAAUUAGUAAUAGGAUUAUAUAAACAAAAUAGAUCUACGUACGUACCUACUUCCUAAAGAAUUAUAUAAGAACAAAGAAAGCAGGUUAUGUUGCUGUAAAUUAAUAAUUCAAUCAUUUAUUAUAAAUGUUAAAUUUCUUGUCUUUAUUGUAAACAGUCUCAAUAUUCAAGAUUCAAACAACAUUAUCUUAAAAUAUUACACUAUAAAUCAAGGCCUAAAAAUAAUUUUGAAACACUCAAUUGAAAAUGAUAAUUAACUCAAGCCUUAGUCGAGCAUUUGAUUUAAGCUCAAAAUCUACAUUGUCUAGAGUCUUUCUUAUCUAAAAACUUUUAUGCUUUAUAAACCUUCAACUUCUCACUAUAUAAAUUAUAAAAUCAUUUAAUAUUUUAAUUUGGAAUUAAUGUUAUUUAAAUUUUUAAAGAUUAAUUGUUUAUUCAUCUAUAAUUUAUUUUAAACAUAUUAUUUUUUAUGCUAAAAUAAUUAAUUAAUUUGGGGAAUAUUUUUUUUAAAUGAUUGGUUAAUUCAAAUGAUCCCCAUAAAUCUUGUCAUUGUUUCUUAAAAUUAAUAAAAUUAUAGAACUCAAAUCCUACUUAAUCAAAAAAAAAAAAAAAAAGGACGAGAGCUAAAUGGCCAGAGGCAUAAGUGGAGCGGAUUUAAGGAUAAGCGUAUGUUAAGAAUAAUUCGUGUGCUAUGUCUGCAUCUUACCAUUAGGUGACGGGACGAGAGCCACGCCAACGCAUUAGGUGUUACUUGCUCCACAUCAAGCUUCUUUCUUAGCCAUUUCAUGUCCCAUAAUCAUUUAAAAAUAUGGUAAUAGUUAUAUUUUAAAGUAUUUUUUAUUUAAAAAUAUAUAAAAAUAAUAUUUUUUUUAUUUUUUAAAAAUUAUUUUUAAUAUUAGCACAUAAUAAUAAUAAUAUAAAAAUGUGAUGUUUUGAAAUUAAAUGAGUAGGUAAAAGACAAUAAAGCCCUAGAAGGCUAAAAAUGAGUAUAAAUGAAUAAGGGGUAUUGUAGUAAUUGAAUAAAGAGUUGAUAAAUAUAAAUAGAAAAGAAAAUAGAAGAAGAGAGCUGUGUUUUAAAAGUGAAAAACUGACAGGAGAAGAGAAGAAAAGGGGAGGAAGAAGAAGAGAAAAGAAGGAAAGAUAAGGGAAGGAGAAGAGAUUUGAAGGAAAUAAGUUUAAAGGUAAGAUUAUGUAUAAAUGUGUGUUCUUUAAGCUUUAAGUUUCUGUUUUGAUAAAUGUUAGGGUUUUGAAUAUUGUGUUUUGGGUUUGAUUGAUGAAUUAAUUGGAAUGUUAUGGGUUGAUUGUUGUGGGAAAUUGGUUAAUUAGUUGAUUGUGAGAGAUUGUAGGUAAAGAUGAUGAUUUUGAGUUAUGAUUUUGUUUAAAUGGUGAAAUUGUGUUAGAAAUCAGGAGAUGACAGUAGGUAAUCUGUGAAAUUCUGGGUUUGAGGUUGAAGAUGACGAAAAUUCAAUUUGGUCCCUCAAUUUUGGGAAUUUACAUUUUAGUCCCUGAACUUUAUAAAAAUUACAAUUAUGUCCCUGGUUCACUCUAGACAGAAUUAAGGAUGGUUUAUGGGCGAAAUUUCAGUAUGGUUAUGUAUUUACACUUUGGUCCUCCAAUUCUGGUAAAAUUACAUUUUGGUCCCUAUUUUGAAAAAUUAUCGUUUUAGUCCAUAAAAUUAGGAGACUAAACCUGGUUUUUAUUAUAUGCAUUGGGAUCUUUUGUUUGAGUUGUUUUUUAGUAUAUUUCAUAUAUUGUUGUAGGUUCUCCUAACGAUCCUCAAUAGGAUUUUUGGGUCUUUCGUCUGACAUUCCUUUUAGUUCUAUAUUUUCCGAGUGAGUUGGAUAAUUUUUAAUAUGCAUAUAUGAUAAGUAAAUAUGUAUGUUGAUUAUACAAUGAGUACAACUCGUUAAUUUCUUGAAUAAUUAUAUAUGUUGUUUAUUUUUCGAGUACUCAUUUAUUCUUGAAUUUGCACUCGCAAUCUGUCGAACUAGAUUCUAUUUGAUAUGAUAUAGGUUUCUCUGAUGAUUCUGUAAAUAUCUAUUAUGCCUUGAUAUGGGACUUGUCAGUAACUUUAUGCUAACGGAGAGUAGUUAGCCUAUGUGCACAUAGUAUUCUGUAUACCUAGAUGGUGAGAGAGGCAUCAGCCUGUGGAGACUGAUCAUCCCACAGUGGUCACCUUCGGGUGUCAUCUGCUCUCUGACAUGUACUCCACUACAUUAUGAUGAUAUGUUUAGUAUGUAUAUGUAUGUGUAUAUCAAGAUAAGUUAUCUUGCGAACUAUUAAUAUCAAGAAUAUCUAAAAUAUAUAUUAAUUAUUAUUCCUUCACUGAGUUGGUUGAACUCACCCCUCAUUCUUAAUAUUAUUUUAGGUUCUUAGUUUCUGAUAGCAGGUGAACUUUGUUGAGUGUUCCUGCUUCAUCAGUUUUGGGUCGGUAUGCCUUGCUUAUCUUUCAAGGCUGUUUGAUUUGAUGUCUUAGGCGCUCCACUAUUACCUUGUUUUAAUUAAGUUUGGAUUUUGACAAUGUAAUGAGCAUUAUGAAUUAUUGUUUUUGUUUUAACUACUGAUGAGGAGUUUUAAACUAUCUUUUGGUUUCAUCAGUUUUGAAUAAUAUAAUAUUUCUAAAGAUUAUGAAAUGCUGCGUAUUUUUGAAUAAAUUAUGUCCGUUUUGAGGCUUAGCGUAGGGGGGGUGUCCUUCCGACACCGCUCCUGCGUUGCCGAUCACGGACCCGGGAUUCGGGUCGUAACAAAAAAUAUCAAAAAAAUAUUAAUUUUAAAUAAAAAAAUUUAAAAAAAUUUUUAAAAUCAAAAAUUUUUACUUGUUUAUUAUCGUCUUUACCCUCUCUUUCUUUCUUGAUCAAAACCCAAAGUAGACUAAAAAUUUAGUUAAGCAUUGAGACUCAAUCAGAGAGCCCACUUUGGCCAUCCUUCAAAGAAUAGAUUUGUUGAUAAAUGGUUGUAAUUGUUUUUUAAAAUAUUUUUUAUUUAAAAAUAUAUUAAAAUAAUAUUUUUUAUUUUUAAAAUUUUAUUUUUAAUAUCAGCACAUCAAAAUAAUUUAAAAAUAUCAAAAAAUAUUAAUUUAAAGUAAAAAAAUUAAAUUUUUUAAAAAAUAUUUUUAAAAUACAAAAAUAAAUAAUACAUUUGCAUUAAAGACAGAAUUGUCAUUUUCAAUUAGCCACCUAGAAAUAACCUCGUUGAAAUGGAAUUUUCAUGUUAUGCUCACCCUUUAAAUUAAAUUAAAUUAAAAAUAAAUAAAUCUCGACACAUACUUGACCAAGGUUAUUCAUUGGAAUGGUGCAAUUGCAGAUUUGCCCUUGUACUGAAAUAUUGAGAUCAAUUUAGUCUGGGAUCCAUUUAUCUUAUCAGUUUCAUCAAGAGCAAAAAGAUCUUCACAUGUUAUUUUUUUCGCUUUAAAAUGACAAAAAAGCCUUUAAAAGAAAAGGAGUUAUUAAACUGAUUUUCAAGGGCUUAUUUGUCCUUACACUUUCUUAACUGUAGUAAAAAACUGAUGUAAAAAAUAAUUAACUUGCAUACUGGGCUUUUCCAUCUUUUCAAACUAAUAUAUAUAUAUAUAUAUAUAUAUAUAUAUAUAUAUAUAUAUAUUGUUAUAAUAAAGUUGAUUUAAAAACAAUUUGAUCUUUUAAUAAAUAUAAAUAUUAUAAAAACAUACUGGCACAUGAGUUUUUCUUGUGUUAUUUAUGGCUAGUAAGAUGAUGUUUGGAGGCAAAUAAUGGCUUUUAAGGCGGUGUUGGAAUUGUCUUGAGAGCCCCUCUACAUCUAUGCUGCACUUAUGACCAACGGAUCUAAGGUUUGGUGCUAAUGAUUUUUUUUUUCUCCUCCUCGAUUUCCACACCUGACCCUCUAGAUUUUAUAAUUAGCCCUUCAAUUUGUUUUUUCUUUGAGUUUAGUCUCUUUUCUUUUGAUUACUAUUUGUUUUAUUUGAAAUAAUUUAUAAAAUUGAAAUUCUUUUCAACUUCAUCCUCCCUUAAUUUUUUCAUCUAUUAAAUUUGAUCCUUAUUCUUUUGAUUGAUAUUUAUUUAUUUUAGAUGGUUUUUAGAAUUGAACUUUUUUUUUUACAAUUUCAUCCUCCUUCAAUUUUUUUCCUAUCAAAUUUUAUCCUUAUUUUCUUUUUUUUUUUAAACUCGUGUUUUUUUAGUUUCAUCAUUCGAUAUUUAUUUAAUCAGAGAUUGAGCUACGUUAUUUUUUUAUUUUAUUUUUGUAGAAACUUUCAUUGGUUUUAAAAAUAACAUGAGUUGUUUUAAGUUUUUUUAUUUGUCAUUAUUUAUUAUUUGUUAAAUGUAACCUUUUUUUCUGGAAAUUUUAUUUUUUAAAAAUUAAAUUAAAUUAUUUAAUUAAAUAUAAACAUAAAAUAUUCAUUUCAUUAUAUUUUAUUUGAUUUUUUUUCUAGUUACAAGACGGAGUCAACGGUGAAAUGAUGAUAAAUCUCCAACAGACUUUAGUAUCGACUUUGAAAAGUAGUUUUCCCUAUUUUUGUUUCCAAGAAAAAGCUUUGGAGAAGGUUCGAAUGCGGCCGCCCAAGUCAUAGCAAUGUGAUGAGAUUUGAAACUGUAACAACAAAUAAGGAGAAACUCGGAGCGAAAAAAGUUUGUUCUUUUACCAAUGUGUAACGGAAGAAGCAAAAACAAUCUUCUGCACGUUCUUAUGAUGAUUGCAUCGUUCAAAACAUUGCACUUUCUACUCGGCCUGUUUGUUUCCUUGAAGCUCUUGGCCUUAGCUCAAGAGGAAAACCACUUCAUCUAUCAUGGCUUCACUGGCGCCAACCUGCUCCUCAGCGAGAUUGCAAAAAUCCAUCCAAAUGGUCUCUUAGAGCUGACAAACACUUCAAAACCGCAAAUUGGCCGCGCUUUCUUGCCAUUCCCUUUUCAGUUCAACACAUCUUUAUUCCACAAUUCUCGGUCUCUCUCAUUCUCUACCCAGUUUGCGUUUGCCAUGGUUCCUGAGCUGCCUACACAUGGUGGCCAAGGCAUGGCCUUCACAAUCUCUCCAUCUGUGGACUUCACAGGUGCUGUGGCAGCUCAGUACUUUGGAAUCCUCAAUUCUACAACCGAUGGCCUACCUUCAAACCAUCUAUUGGCAGUUGAGCUGGAUACAGUUCAAAGCCAGGAUCUUAAAGACAUCAAUGAGAGCCACGUUGGAAUUGAUCUAAACAGCUUGAUAUCCAUUGAAUCUGCUCCGGUGACCUACUUUUCAGAUGAGGAAAACGAGAAUAAGAGCUUGACUCUCAUAAGUGGUCAUGUGAUGCACGUGUGGAUAGAUUAUGAUGAAGUAGAGAAGCUACUCAAUGUUACGGUUGCUCCUAUCACAAGAACAAAACCAACCUUGCCUCUCUUGUCAAAACCUCUCGAUCUUUCUUCUGUUAUGUUGGAUUCUAUGUACGUUGGUUUUUCUGCAUCUACUGGAGCAGUGGCUAGCAGCCACUAUAUUCUGGGGUGGAGCUUCAACAGAGGCGGACAAGCUCAAAGUCUUGACGUGUCAAAGUUGCCUUCA